rnacentral:lncRNA from 1 species
GUGGGACAAGGAAGGGUAAUUCUGUCAUCAUAAAUUAUUUACUUUAUUGUAAUGCACGUGUCUCUGCAAAUGAGCGUAGAACUUCCACAUUGCUUUUCCUUUCCCAUUCCAUCAAAGCAACAAGCAGAAUACACAGUUGAGUACUCUUCGUUUCUCACAUUCUCAUCCAAACCCUUUCUCAACUUUGAGGGUUUCAUUUGAUUGCACUCUCCAAGCUACAACUGUGAUACUACAUCAGUAUAUGCAUACACAUACUUUUACAAGGAUUGCCGUUAAUUUAUUCGGAUGAGUCUGAAAGUGAUUUUGUGAUGACAGAAGAGGGAUUAGAGAGGGAAAAGGUGAAUCAACGUCUAUGAACUCCAUAGAAUCAUAGUGGGUAUUUCAGGACGAUCUGUAAAUGGGGGUGAUGAAUCAACUUCACGAAUAGUUGAAUUGUACUUAUUGUGGAAGUUGUAUGAGGUGAAGGUAUGGAUUUUUGUUUUCACUUUCUUAUGUUAUUUUGUAUAUGAAAUAUGGAUCUUUGUGAAAAUAGAACUUUGACUAGAUUAUAAUGGAGGUUGUAUUGACUUUUUUCACUUUUGAAACAAUUGAACUUUAGAAAUUUAAAUUUUACUCAUUUUCUUCCUCGAAUUUCCAUAUUCUUCGCUUUUGAAUGGUUACAAUGAAAUGUAGUUAUUAGUCUUUUAGCACAAUGAAACUUCUGCCAAAGAUAAGUUAGAGGUAUUAGUUUUAGUAACAUAAGUUCUUAUAUUUCACUAUGUGAGAAAAUUAUUGUAUUAGUUGAUUUCAGUUAUAAUAUCAUCAUCCAUAUGGAUGCAUGUUCUUAAUGUUUUCUUCGGUGAUUCCUCUCAAUUUUUCUAGAAGGAUUUGAUAAUAGAGGAUGAAGAAAGCAUGAAAAAGGAUGAUAAUAAAAGAUCAUAGACCGUACACUUGGAAUGAGGGGGCUUCCGAAGGGCACUGAAGAUACAAAAGAGAUGAUCAUAUGUUUUGUUGACACUGAAAUGAGGUAUCCAAUUUAUAAGACUAACAAUCGAUUUUGAAGUUAAAGGUUCCAUGUAGUAGUACUAGGACAUACUCGGAUACACGAAUGGUGGAAUGAACAUUACUACAAAAGUUAUACCAUGUGCAGCUCUAACAAAGUCCUAUGAACAACGUCGUUUUUGUAAAUCUAUAGGGAUAAAUUGGUUGUACUUCUUUCUGCAUCAUAAAGUCACGUGUAGUUGAUUAAUACAACUGUCUUUCUAAUCAGCCCCAGUCCAAUCUUCUCUCUAUUUAAAUUGUUCUGUGAUUUCUGCACUUUUAUUUUUGGCUGUUCUUUAAUUCCAAUUGGCUUACCUUUAUUAUCUAUAAUCUAAAAAAUCAUUUGAUGCAGUAACUUUUUCGUUCUGUUAAUAUUUUUCUACCGUAUUAGUAGUUGAUCUCCAUUUGCUGGGGUAUACAUUAGCAUUUGCUGGGGUAUAUGUUAAUUUUUAAUUCUCUGGUGAAUACUUCAAUUAUUUUCUUUUUGUAGUUGAAACUCCCAAUUGAAGUUGUUGAAACUAUAGAGAAACCACAAGAAGAGCUUUUCUUCUUGGCUUGUGAUCAACUAUGAUGUUUCGCGGAGCUUUCCAGGUUAUUUUCUUACUAUUUUUUUCCUUCUCAUUAUACUGAUGGAUUUACUGUUCAGGUGAAGUGCAUGUCUUCAAAUUAUUUACUGUCAUUGAAUGUAUCAUAUACUUUCUUGGUAAAUCAGUUUGCUAGACACGUAUAUUCUAUCUAUAUUGAUCAUGUGUAAGGUCUUGAUAAUGUGCAUAAUUUGUGCAUAAUUUUAGGUGGCUUAAGGGUAGCUUACAUUUUGGACCUUUGGAAGAUACCUAUAUGGGUAAUAUUAGCAACUUGAAUCAGUAGUCAAAACAGGUUAGAGCUUUCAAUACUUUGUCCUUAAUAUACUAAGGCUGUUGGGAUUUGUCCAAUUUUUAUUUUGGUGAAGUUGAUUCUUUUAACCAGAAACAUUUAUUUUUAUACCGUCAGAUAUCUCUCAUUUCGUUUAUAUGUACAUUGGUUCAAGUUUGUUUUUGUGAAGCACUUCCUUCAAAUAUCCUUUAGUUUGUUUUGUGAAAGUUUAAAGUUGAUAGAUUCCAAAUUUGUGACUGCAUUUGAAGGUAUUGACUGUUUUUAUAUGUAAAAGAGGAAAGGGAGAAUACAAAAUUGUGUUUCCCCUGCUCUUCUUAAAACUACUCUUUCAACAGAAAUAGUAGUUGAAGUUUAUUUCUUUGGUUUCAUCUGUUUUACGUACAUUAUAAUUUCCAAAGAAAGUAAUGAAAUUUAGCUUACGAUAUUUACUAAUUUUGCAACUUUUUUUUAUUAACUGGAUAAUUCAAGAGUUUGUUGUACAUUAUCUCAAAUGAUCUUUCCAAAAGCUGAUUUGUAAAUGCAGAGUUGCACUUCCUCAGUUGAGGUGAGGAGUAUAUGAUACCCAAUAUUUUGUCGCAAUGACAAAUGCAGUCAUUUGUUCUUAUGAUUUAGCAUGAAUAGAAUAUCAACUUGCUUAUCUGUAAAUAUCCUUCAAGAAAGCUCUUCAAAUUUUUUAAUGACUAUGGAAUUCACAGCUAUUUCAGGGUAAUAGCAUGCAAAUCACAAAUUUGAGGUAGCCACAUUAAACAAGUCAUGUGUGACAAGUUCGACCGAGAAAGCAUGUAAGGAGUUUUGAACUUGAGACCUCUCAUUUGGGAGGUUCCCCGCUCCCCAUAAGGCUCAUGGUCGGAAGAUUGCAAGUUCAAAUCGUGUCCCCACCUAAUCAGUGGAGUUACAACCACAUAAAGAAUGAGUACUCUGUUCUUAUUUCAUUGUACAUAAUAUUUUUUGUCAGCCAUCAAUUAAUAGUCCUAAUUAUAUAAAAGAUAUAAUCUAUUUCCUAAUUUUCCAAAUAUUAGCCCAUCGCUUCUUGUAAGCCUCUUAAAUUAGGCCUAAGAGAAGGAAAUGAAUUUUUAGAAAACUCAAAGGUGCAAAUUCAUAGUGCACGCUUGCAGGCAGUCUCAAUUAUCAUAGAUUUUUUCACCUUAGGCUUUGUGAUAUUAUUCAGUUAUAAUGUCUGGUUGUAUUGAACAUAAUACCGUAUUCGAGGAAAUUCUUUUGCUCUUUUCAGGAAAGCCACUAAAGAAUUUACCAAGUAUUUUUACAGGAUAUGACCUUCAAUUAAUAUUUUAUCAAAACAUAACAAGUGAUGACUUAGAUGAAGUCUAAGCCGAGUUUACUGUUUACCUUUCUUCUGCAAAAAAAGAGAACAUUUUGAAGAGGGAGGACUUCUACGUGAAUACAUAUGCUUCAAAGGGCAAAAUAUAACACUAAUGGGAGAAGGCCAAAUUGUCGUUUACUAAUGGGAGAAUAUCACAAAUGUUAAAUAUAGCUUGUGCUGAAAGUAAUUUAGGAUGUUUGUACAAGUAGUUGUGCUUUUUUCAGAAUAUCUUUUUUGUUGUUAUUUGAAGGUAUGAAAAGUCAGUGUGUCUAUAGAAUGCAUGCGGUCUAUUGAUCAUCUCUUUGGUGUCAUUGAAGUAAUAGCCACUUUCUGCAACAUUCAGUAAAUGGAGUGCAAUGGUUUGCACUUACAAAAAUUACUUAAGCUAAAUUGUUGUCCUGCCCAAAUUAUUGAGCCUUCAAAUCCUAACGAUUUGUUAGAGUUUGAAACAAUAAGGUUUUAUUCUCCUUUCCCUUUUCUUUUAUGCGUUUUUUAUCCGCUCUUCUUAUAUUGUGUAAACAUUUUUUUUCAUGUGAAAGUAUAGCUCCUCAGAUGGCUCUUGCUUCUCACUAUCUCUGAUGAUAACAAUUUCAAUGCAUUUACCUUGUAAAUUUUGCCUUGUGUUGCAAGAACUGAAUUGGACUAUGUCAUCAGCAGGUUCUUAAUUGCUUAUUGUUGGGACAUAUGUUUUUCGCGAUACCACUUAACUCUCAUUGAGUGUGCUACACAAUUAAAUUUUACAUUAUUGUAUCACUUAUUUCAGAUUCUUCAAAUGUAAAAUUUAUGUUACAUUUUAUAUAUGAACUUAGACUCACUUGGACUCAAAUAUUGUAUUAGGCAACACUGAUUAUGGAGUUGGGUUUAAUAGCUGAUGGUGCAACUUAAUUUUGGAUAUUAUUCAUAUGGGAAGUGCUAAAUGGCCAAAAAAUUAAAAAAACUAUAAUAUUUUUUUAAUUUUAAAAUAGACUGAUCUUUUUUCCAUUUUUUUGUUAAAAUGUAUUAAAGUUAAAAGGGUAAAAAUGUUUAAAAAGGUAAAAUAACAUAAAUAAAAUAUUAUUCAGGUCAAAUUCUGGAUAUUGUUUCACAUGUUUGUUUACUCAUUAAAACUUUUAUAUCGAUAUAGGACAAUGUUAAGAAAAAACGCUAGUAAUUGUAGAUCUUUCGCAUGUAUAAUCACUAUAUUGGGCCCGUGCUUAGCCUAUCUAGUCUCAUAAUAAGAAGUAGUUUUUCUUCAACAUGUGAAUAUUGAAGUACCACGUGGAAAAUGGCUAGCCUGCCUUAUUUAUCGAGUAACUUAUAUAUUUAUGAGCUAAUUAUAUAGAUAUAUUUUCAUUUGUAAUGCUAUGAAUUUUAUGAGAUUUUGGUAUCGUCUAAAUAUGUUCAGAUACAUGUAUCUUGAGAUAUAUAGGAUCAAAAUUAAGUGUAAUUUAUAUUUAGAUACAUUGUAUGCAUGUAUCAAGAUACAUAGAUAAAUAUAAUUUGCCUCCCUCGCCUCACUCGUCACUUUCUUUUCUCGCUCGCGUAUUUGAUCUAUUAAAUACAUGUGAAUCACACCAUUUACAUAUUAUCUAAUGUGUAUCUAUUAUGGUUUACAUGUAACUAAGUUGAAUAAGCAAAUCUCACUUGUCUUCCUUCCACUUGCCUCUGUCCCUAUUUAAGACAUGUGAUAGCAAAAAAUAUGUAUUUAAAUAUAUUUGAUUUAAAAUUUAAAAUAAAAUUAUUAAUUAGUGAAAUAAAAUAUAAUUAUUUUAAACUAUAGAAAUUGACGUCCUUACUUACUUAUCUAGACGGCCCCUUUUCCGACAGACCAAAGUGAUAUUUGACCCAUAUACUAUUCAUUCACCAUCACUACAUUUCCAGAAAUACUCUGUUUGUCCUGUUAUACGCCAUUUUCCAGUUGAUUUUUCCGCAAGCUCUCAAUUUCAUACUCUAAACCUCAUUUUUACCGAAUUGAGUGGAUGGUUGCUGUUACUUCUCAGUACCCAUUUGGUAUCUGCCCUCAAUUCCAUGGAAAUUCAAGGUUACUUUCCCCGGAAACGGACUUCUCUGCUCUCAAUUUUCCAUACAGACUGGGGUAUUCAAGAUUGACUCUUCACCCCAAGGUACUUCUUUUUUUCUUCUUAUCAUUUUGGCAUUUGAUGUUGAACUAUUCUUCUCAUGUGCUUUUUAAUUAAUUUGAAGUUAGAUAAAUUGAUUGUGUAGUAAAAAUGGGAUUUUCCUUCGAUUCUGUUGCCUAGAGGUUCAGCUUAAUCAGAGUGUUGUUUGUGUAGAAGACGAUUAAGUUAAAAAAGUGCUUUUCUAAAAAGUAUGAAGAUGGUACACUGCGUAUUUCUUGAAAAGUGAAAGAAAAGAACAUUAACAGACUACAGUUUGAGUGAGAUUACUGGUGCUAUGUUACCUUUAUGGUUUCAUAAAUUAGGGAAUGUGAUGCAAUGCUAGUUGAGUGAGCAUGUAAGUGUACACAUUAUCCAUGAGGUACCGGUAAGAAGUUGGGUGGUUGAAACAAUUUUUUAAACUAUAGAGUGCAAGUCAACUCGAGGGCACGUUGACUAUUCCAACGGUACUAUUACCGAGUAACUCUUUCCAUUCAAGCUUAAUCAGAAUGCAAAGAAGGUUGGAAUAAUAAUAAUAAAUAUCUCGAAAAUAUAAAAAAAAAUUUAUAUGACAAGGAAAACCUGCAGGCGCUAUCCUUUGGGUGGCACACCAAGAGGUUUCGAACUUGAAACCUCCAACAUGGAAGUCCCAAGCCCAUAUCACUGGGCAUCCCCAAAGGGUUAUAAUGUUCAUUUUUUAGAACUUGUAACGUCUGUUUUGUGACCACAUUGAUUACAUUUAUUAGCCUUCAAUUCCUUCAUCAAUUUGUUCAAUUGAAUUUGGUCUUUGAAUAGCUAGACUUCAAUAGAAUUGAAUGGCCUUUAACAAUGCCAUAAUUGCUCAACACAAGGAUGCACCAUGGCGUGCUCAUUUCUUCACCAUAAAUAUCCAUUAUCAUCCUUAGGAUUAAAAUGGUGGCAGAGGUCUGUUUCCUCGACAAUAAUUUAAUUCUUCCACUUCAUUUUGAGCUCAUGGAACAAGAAGAAUAAUUCUUUCUCUUGGUUCUUCUUCCUAUAUUUUGUAGUGGUGGAUUUUGAUUUAUUUAAUCUUUGUUAGAUUCUCACUCCUAGUUUUAUACUAGAAGAGUUUGUUGAGUUCUAGGCAUACACCUAUACCACGUCAAGCUUUGAAGAAUUUUCUACAAUGUUUGCGGUUAAGUAUUUUCUAUAAGAUUUCCAACAAAGACAUCACCUAACAUUUUUUUGCCUGUUCUAGGAUUUUAAUCUUGGCCUCCUAUGGUUUUCAAUUAAUCGCUCGACCAUACUCUCGGGUGAUGGUCGGGUUGAAUCAUUAUAGGAGAUACCUAAGUUGCUCAGACUCUUCACUUUCGGUGCCGCACCUGUGUCCACAAGACGCGGAUGUAGGAUCCAUACCCGAUCCGGUCAACCGAUUAAGCGUACUUUGACCAAAUUCGAGGGAUAAAUUUUGGAAAAAUUCAAUGAUUUCCGUAAUAAAAACAAAACCUAAUGUGAAAUUGAAGAAAAUGGAAUAAACCUUCUAUACACAAAUUUCUAUUGUCACUCCCUUUCCUUUUAUCUCUUUUUAGGAUUCUCCUCUUGAUCAAUAUUUUCUCCACAUAAUAUCUCAUAAUUUAAAUUUUAUAACUCUAUUUUUGAUAUUUGGAUUAUCUUUAGCCGAAUCCCCGCACCCGUAUCCAUACAUGGAUCCGUACCGUAUAUCCCUGAAUCUUUAAAUUUAGAUCAUAGAGCAUCCAACCUCUAGAUCCGCACCCGAGUUCGAGCAACUUAUGGAGAGGCAUUAUAUCUUUGAUGGGAAGAUCACAGUUUGGUCUUAGAGUGGGAUGCAUCUACAGGUCCUUGUUCUUAUAGUCGACUCCUAGUUGUUAGCCUAGCCUCAAGCUAAAUGUAUCUCAUUGCAUGAUUAGAGUGGGUUAUCUCUAGUUUGGGUAGUAUAUUUGUGUAGUUAUCUGUGAGAAGACUUCUCAAGUAAGCAUAAUGAGGCGACUAUAGUCAAUGCAGCUUGUCGUUUGGAGCUGGUACACUGCCCUUCAAUAAAAAUGAAUACUUUGUUAAAGUGAAGUGAUAGAUCAAAGUGGUUGGGGAAUGGUGAUUGUAGUCAGGAAUCAGAGAAUAGGACCGUGUUCGGUGGCAUGCUUUUACUAUAUCAGAAUUGAGAAAAUUGUCAAAAAAAGAAAAAAGUUAGUACUAUAGUGUGUUAUCUCACACUUAUUCCCACUGAAGAAUCUAAUCAAAUACACAGUUUGCGGGAUCAUUGAAUUUAUUUCACUAGUCUAAUAGUGCAAUCACAUGUAUAUGAAUACGAACUACACUGAAGGAUCACUCACUAGAGCUUUACUGGAAUUGGAGAAGAUAGAAGGAGAAUUUUUUUUGUCGUUCUUGUUUUGUUUUGUUUUGUAAAGCAGGAGUUCUGGCUUAUUUAACAGAGACAAGACACCGGUUCAUGAGGAGUCCUAACCAUUGUGUCUUUUCAUUAUUUAAUAAUAAUUAAAUAUAUAACACAUAUAUAUUUAUUUAUUAUUUAUAUGGAUCCGGGUUGACCCACUAGGUGACGCGAAUCUAAUUCCUUCACCCACUAUUCAAGAUAAUCCAUGGAGAGGUAUGUCUACGUUUCAUGUAUUGGAUUUUCUAGGACUCAAUGAAAAUCUGUCAGUGUCUGUAAUGCUAAUGUGUGCAACACAAUAAUUACAAUCAUCUGCCUAUGCCAAUGGCCUACACAAUUUUAAUAUUCAAUGUCAUUGCUUGUCUGUAUGCCAAAAGCUUUUGAAUUAACUGUUAUUUGGUCUUCAACUCUUCUUAUUACAGGGUCAUGUUACUGAAAUACAUUCUUUGCCACAUGCCGGUGAUUUCACUGGUGAAAAUGAGCCAACACCAAUUCUUGAUGCAAUUGAAAGUCCCAUGAACCUAAAGAAUUUAUCAACUAAGGUCAAAUAAUUAGCACUUCUCCUCAUUUGACCUUGAUAAUCACGGGACCAUAUUGGCUGACUGUGACCAACUUGGUGCAGGAACUGAAACAACUAGCUAAUGAAAUUCGAUCAGAAUUAGCUUUUAUCAUCGCAAAAUCUCAAAAACGUUCAAGUUCCAGUCUGACUGUUGUGGAGCUGACUGUUGCUAUUCACCAUGUAUUUCAUGCCCCUGUGGACAAAAUAUUGUGGGAUGUGGCUGAACAAGUAAGAUCCACUUGGUAAUAUACCAGAAAAUGGUAGAUUUCCAAGUAAAUGAGUUAUACUAAAUAACAUGUGAAGCUAGCUUUAGUUAUGCAGCUCCCAAUUCAGGUUUUAAUUUGAGAAUUUUGUCAUCGUAAAAAUUUCUAUUUUGACGUUUUGGACAGACAUAUGCACAUAAACUUCUCACUGGAAGGAGGCAGAUUAUGCAAGCACUUGAAAAAUCAAAUGGCCGGCCUGUGGCAGCACCAGAUUUUGAGAGCGGAUUUGACCCCUUCGGAGUAGGGCAUGGAUGCAACAGCGUAUCUGCUGGACUUGGUAAAAAUCAUGCUUCUGCUUUUCCCUUUCUCAGCUGAGGAUAUCCUACUUCUGCUUCUUCAAUUAUUUUUCAAAAUUCAGCACGGAAGGUUACUAUAGGAAGUGCUUUCUUGUUUUAUAAUUUAAUUCUUGUUACAAAUUAUUUCAUAAAAAGUUGCCUGCUAAAUCCAUCAAAAAAUUUGAAUGUUUUUCCAGCCUAGAUUUAUAUAAUAUUCUCAUCAAUCAUGUAAUAUAGAUACUUAGACUGUAGUGUCACCUUCAAUAGGAAUGGCCAUUGCCCGAGAUUUUAAGGGGAAGCGUGAUCGUGUAGUGGCAGUGAUCAACAAUGAAACAAUUAUGGCCGGCCAAGUUUAUGAGGCAAUGCGCAAUUCAGGCUAUUUGGACUCAAAUAUGAUUGUGAUAUUAAAUGAUAGUCGGCAUUCUUUACACCCAAAGGUUGAGGAGGCCUCUAAAAUACCUAUUAAUGCUUUCUCAAGUACACUCAGCAAACUUCAGUCAAGUAAACUUUUCCGGAGGUUUAGAGAACUUGCUAAGGUAUGUCCCUGCUAUAUUUACAAAAGUACUAACAAAAUACUCCUAUCCACGUUAAUGUAAAGAGUUGGUUCAAAUGCAAAAUCCUAAUUUGAUGUACAUGUUGCACAAGUAAUAUGCCUUUUUCAAGCACCAAAAAGAAGAAUUCUGGAAUUAAAACAAAACAGAAAUGUUAUGUUCUUCUUUUCUUUUUCGAAAUUAAUUAUCAAAAAGAGAGCAAGAUAAACCUAUUGUGGCUUGCAGUUAAGGUUUUUAAAAUUGUUUGUACAUCACUUAUUAUACUCACAAAAUCUACAACAAAAGCUUUUCGAUUUCCACUACUUUUACUAAUUGAGGUCAAGCGUGCAUUCUUUGUUCUAUUUUUCAAUAGGGUAAAGUAGAUUUCAUUAUCCCACCACAAUUUGUGGGAUAAGACAACUAAAUGCAUUAGGAAGUAGCUAAAGAGGUGUUGGGGGUCUCGAGAGGUAACACAGGUGAUUGCUGAGGGGAUUGGUGGUGGAAUAGAGCAGUCCAAAAGAAAGUGGAUGCCAUGAAGGUUGCUUAUAUGAAGUAUAGAGAGAAAAGACGAGGAUGAAAAGAGGGCUAAUAGGAAGAAGUAUAGUGCGAUGAAGAUGGUAGUGAAGUUAGCGGUUACAACGGCUAAAACAAUAGCGUUUGAACGAGAACCAAUUUGGAGGUGGAGUACAAUGAUCCCGGUGUACAAGAACAAAAGUGAUAUUUAGAAUUGCAACAAUUAUUGGGGUAUCAAGCUACUAAGCCAACUAUGUAAGAUUGGGAGAGGGUGGAAAUGUGUCACCAAGACUUAAAGGUAAGUUUUAUCAAGUGGUUGUCAGACUGGCUAUGUUAUAUGGGGCGGUGUGUUGACCGGUCAAGAACUCGCACGUCUAGAAAAUGCAAGUAGCAGAGAUAAGAUGUUGAGAUGGAUGUGUGGGUGUACUAGGAGAGAUAAGAUUAGGAAUAUAGAUAUUCAGGACAAGGUGGGAGUGGCCUCAGUGGUGGACAAGAUAAGGCCUAGAUUGAUAUAGUUCGGGCAUGUGAAAAGGAGAUGCACAGAUGCCCCAGUGAGGAGGUGCGAGGGGUUGACGAUGAUGGGUCUUAGGAGAGGUAGGGGUAGGCCGAAGAAGUACUGGGAGUGGUUAGACAACACAUGACACUCCUGCCGCUUACCGAGGGCAUGACCCUAGAUAGGAGGAUAUAAAGGUCGCAUAUUAGGAUAGAGGGUUGGUAAAUAGUUGAGUGUGGUCUAGCUUCCCAGUGUUAUUAUUAGUACUCCCCUACUAUCUUGUUUUUCGAUUUUACUAUUACCUGCUUAUUUUUUGGCUUCGGUUAUCAUACUAUUUGUUGCUUCUAUUGUUCCUUUCUCCAUUAUUUUCUGUAUGGUCCCUUCACUGUUGUAUUUUCUUUUCUUACUUAUUUACUUGAGCCGAGAGUAUAUAAUCUCUCUACCUUCACAAGGCAAGGGCAAGGUUGUGCACACACCACCCUCUCCUGAUCCCACUUGUGGGAUUACACUGGGUAUGUUGUUGUAACUUUCAUUCAUACUAAAGUACCAAGAAGGUACUAAAAGCAUACAAAUUACAGCACAGCUGCAACUGUUACAUUCUCAGAACUUCUAUAAAAUCCAUGUACUGAUCUAGAUUUUCUGCCAUACUUCCCUUCACCAAAAGUAUACUUUUUUUAGACAUCUAUUCUUAACACCAGCUAAACAUGUCCUUUCCAACCUAAUGAUCCUAAAGAUGCAAAGAGGUAUCGUUUUCCAGAUUUUCCUCCUAGUUUUCCUGACUUUCUCAUUUUGCCAACAAAUCAAUAGGUCUUUCACCUUUUUAGACAUCACCCAUUGCACACCACUCAGUUAAUUAGGAACAGAUCCCAUAGCUGCUUUGUAUGAUUCCAAUGCAAUAAAAUAUGCUCUGCAGAUUCCUGAGAAUUUUCACAGAAAAAGCAUCGACUGCACAAAGGAAUUUCUCUUCUCUGCAACAUAUCUUGAGUUAAACAUGCAUUUUAUUAUGAUCCAACUAAUUAAAUUCAGAAAUUAAACUAAGCAAAUCGAACUCAACAAAUUUUUGGGGAAUUUUCUCGGGUUUAUAUUAAGCAAAACAAACUCUAUUACAUAAUAGAAACUACUACUACGAAAUGAAAAUAACUGGAAUACGGAAUCUCCAUUGAUGAGAUAAACUUGUAUGUGAUUGAAGAAAAAAGAGGAGAAUUUUGGGAUAGAAAAAGAAGAGGAAGAAUAGUUUAGAGAGAAUUGAGGAAGGUGAGGAAAAUAUCCAACUGACCAUGCCGCUCCUGCUCUUUCCGGGAAUUAGUUAUAGGAUGCUCACGUGCAAUCACAGCCCUUCAGUUUCAUUAACUCAAAUUAAAUCUCGUGCGUCCAGGUGUUAUAAUUCUAUUCGUCGUUUCUUUAUUCUUCACUCAGCUCAUUUAUUCAGGUCAUGAAACAUUUCUAGCUACAAUCCAGCCAAAACAAGCUGCUUUAGGAGGUGCUCGUGAUUUCCACGAUGUUUUCCAUGGCCAAGUCAAAUCCUAGUGGUCUAGCUCUGUGCUAUUAAAUCUGAGAGUUGAUGGUAGUUAUAUUGAUCUACUGAUUCUCUGACACAACAUUUUCUCGGGAUUUUUUUCUUUUGAUGACCGGGCAAUCUAUCUGGAGCCAAUCCUUUGGGUCAACGGCAAUAUAUUCUCUUCAGUUUUCCCUUUUUUUGCUUUGUAACUUAAAGAUGGUAAAUGAUCUCACAUACUUUAUCAGAACAACUUAAAAAUGGUAAUUCGCUUGCAGUUUCUUUUUAAACAUAAAUUGUCUCCAUACUCACAUUGUGAAAGACCUUUCAUGAAGUGUCUGGUAGUUUUUCAGGCACUUGUGCUAACUAUUUUUGUGCGGUAUAUUAAUGAGAUGAUUUGAAAUAUAAUUAUGUUACUUCAGUGAGAAAAUUUUCUCGGUGUUUAUCAGGUUGUCGUUAGAGUUAUGUUUAUUGCUACCUUACAUGAAUUUUUCUUUUGUUUUGACGUACCAAUGUUGAAUUGUACAAUAGUAUUUCGUGCGGAAUUUUCGGUAGUGCACUAAACUUACUAGGCAUUUGGACAUGCAAUUUCAAAUCGCAAUAUGAAAUCAUGAGAUGAAAUUAGCGAUUGGACACGCAAUUUCACGUUGAUUUCAUAUCAUGAGAUGAAAUUCCAUAUUCUCCAAAAAAGAAAACAUGAUUUGAGAAUUCAAAAUCAUGAUUUGAGAUUUUUCAAAUACAAAAAUUGACUCACAAGUUUAUAUUUUGUAAAAACACCCACAUUUAUAUCUACUAACCAUUUAUUUCAUAUGUAAAUAAAAUUUAUAAUUCAUAUCGUUAUUUUCUAAACCAUCUAUAUCUCAUGUAACGAUUAUUCUCACCAACAUAUAUAAAAUUCAUUAUUACUUCAAAUCAAUUCUUACUUUUCCAUUUAUAUUCACCAAAUUCAUUAUUUUUCAUCAAAUUUAUUUACCAACAAAUGGCUCAAAGUAACAAUGUUGGUUUGUCUUCUUGAUCAUAUGAUCGAGAUAUGUAAGUUCAAUGUGAGGAGAUUGUUCGUAUUAUGUGGGAUGAUUAUAUUAAAGACUAGUACACUACAACUUAUGUUCAAUUUUUUUAUUGAAUUAAAGUUUAAUGAAUAAAUAUUGUAUUUUUUUAGAAUAAUUUUGUGAUAGUAUAUUAUCGAUUUUAUAAACUUCUGUUUAUUUGGUAAUAUUGUAUAAAGAAGUGGGAUAAUUUUAAUAGCUUUACAACUUAUGGGGGUUUUAUGUUAUGAGAAAACAUGCAACAUAAAAAGUCCAAAUUGCAUGUCCAAUCAAAACUUCAACUUCAUCUCAUGAUUUCAUAUCGCAUGGCCAAACGCCCCCUUAGUAAAAAACUAGAUGUACAUGUAUGGUUGCUUACACAUAUAGUAGAUAAGUAUGUGUAGAUGAGUCUACUAUUUUUUAUAGAAGGAACGUGUAGGCGAGCUUCUUGGACAUGAUUAUCAUCAUUGUUGCAAAUAGUGAUAGACCUUUGUUAUCUCCGAUAAAGUUAUAGUGGUAAAAUUCUUGUCUUAUCAUGUAUUUCUACUAUAGUCAUAUUCCAAAUAUCUGCUGCUUUUUAUAGGUAUUAACAAAGAAAAUCGGGAAAGGCAUGUAUGAAUGGGCAGCCAAGGUUGAUGAGUAUGCACGUGGUAUGAUUGGCCCGCCAGGAUCAACCCUCUUUGAAGAGCUUGGCCUUUACUACAUUGGCCCUGUUGAUGGACACAAUAUUGAAGAUCUAGUAUGUGUUCUGAAUGAAGUGGCAUCUUUGGAUUCAAUGGGUCCUGUUUUAGUUCAUGUUAUAACCAAGGAAGAACUGGAAGUAGGAGACAAUCAAAUGAAUGCAGUUGCAAAUAAAAUUAUGGAAGGUUUGAUCCUGAUCUCCUAUCCUUUUCCUUCCUUUCACACUAAGGGUCGUUUGGAAGGGUAUAUGAGAAUAGUGUUGAAUAGUAAAUAGUAAUGCUAGCAUUAGCAAUAUUGGUAUUGGUUAUGCUGAGAUUAUUUCUUAUGCACUGUUUGGAUUGGUUUGUUAAAAAUAACAUACAUUGCAUUAUUUCUAAAAAAAAAAUUGUUUACAAAAAUAUCUGCCACAAAUAUGGUGGGAAGGAUGUGGAAAAGGUUUUGAGGGGAAAAUUGCAACCUAAACCAUGUUGUGUAUAAAUAAUGCUUGCAUUAGUUAUACAUAGGUUGUAAAACUGUACUAAACAAGGUAUUAGGAAUAUACAAAACUAAUGCAUGCUUUGUUUUUUCUAAUGCAUCCUACCAAACGAGAGAGUAUAUUAAACAUGUUGGGGAACUCCUCUAAUGCAAAUGUAGUGGGAGCAAAAUUGAUAUAACAUUUAAAGUUGGAUGCUAUGUGUUUUUUCUGGAUAAGUUUUGAUCAAAAGGUGCUAAACUUUUAUACUAUGAGCCUGUUUGGCGUUGCUGGUGGGAGACCAAAAACACUUAUUCUGAGAAAAAAAAUACUCUUCUUGAAAAAUUAAGGUGUUUGGCAAAUUAGUAAAACUGCCUUUAAAUAGAAGCAGAAACAAUUUUUCUAUUGUUGGAAAGAAGCUAAAAAAUUCUUGCUUUUCAAAAAAAGGGAGAAGCGGAAAUAGAAAAUUAUUUUUUCCAAGAUCAAAAUAUCUCUUUCAUAUAUACAUAUUUGUCAAUAUAUCUCUUAUUAAUUUAUUAGCAUAUCUCAUAGGUUUGGUUAAGUUUCAUUUAAGAAUUUUAUUUUUUAUUUUUAUAUAAUAUUUUUUAUUAUUUUACGUUUAUUAAUUAUCAUUUUAUAUUUUUAUUAUUUUUAAUUUUAUUUAAAUCAUCAUGUUAAUAUUAUAUCAAUACUUUAUUUGUUUAUUUUAUCUUAUCUAUGUAUAAUAUUGGUUGAAAAUUUGAAUAAAAUAAAAAGUUUGAUUAAAAUUAUUAUAACAGAUAUUUAAAAAUAGUCCCUCUCUAUAAAAUAAUCUUAAUAUUAAAGGUACAUUAAUAUUUACACUUUUUCGUAAUUUGACUCUUAAAAGCAUUUUUAAAAAAAAGAUUAGUCAAACACAAUCUAUUUAUCAAAAACACUUUUCAAAUGAAUUAGCCAGACACAAAUUGCUUUUUUUUAAAAAACACUUUUCUGAAAAGCUAUUUUAAAAAAGUGUUUCUAUAAAGAGUUUUUAGCAAGAAUACCAAACAAACUAAGUUUUACUCCAAGGGUACCCAUAACAAGCUCAGUCAUAUUUUAUGGCUUUAUAUGCAUAUGUAUAUCUCAUUCAUCAAUUGUCUUGUAUUGCACAUUUGCACUGUUUUAAUACUAAAUAAUUUAGAAGACGUGGAUGAACUUAAAUGGACUGCAUGAUUUGUGAGGAUUCAUAUAGCCGACCCCAACUUGCUAUGGAUUGAGGCAUACUUGUAUAAUUUAAAAAAGCAUCUUUCUUCUGGCUUUUAAAAACUAAUUUUAAUCAAUUGAUUUCCAAGUAAGGGUUGAAUAAAAUCCUGAUUAUCAUCACCAUUCAGAUCAAUUUUAGAGUAGAUUUCUAGUGAAGGUCAGGUAAGAUCUAAUCCUGAUAAACUGACCCUUCUUUCUAUCAAAAUUAAUUUGAAUUUCUACCUUUCCAUAUAUUUGGAAGCAUUGUGAACAUCGUGAGGUGAUGCUAUAGGACUUAAUGAAUACUAGCUGCCCUUCCUUGACCAUUCAAUAAGUUUUUCCUGAGUGAAGUUCAUGUAAAAAAUCAAAAACUGGGUAUAAAUGAUUUGUUGUAAGCUGUUCUGGCUCAGAAGCAUGUCCGAGUGGAAGCUGAUAGUUUUCAGAUGGAACUCGAGAAGUGUUAAAAUUGUGGUAGCAAAGUUAUCCUGAAUGGCAAAGCUAUGUAUUAUUACUACAAAUUCUACUAAUAGUCAACCUUCUUUUUAUUGUCAAAGCAGGUGUAUCUAGCUCAGACACUAUACCUUGUGGCAAUCGAACAUAUAGUGAUUGCUUUGUAGAGGCCUUGAUAUCAGAGGCAGAGAGACACAAAGAUAUUGUAGCUGUUCAUGCAGGCAUGGGAAUGGAGCCAUCACUUCACCUUCUGAAGGAUGUCUUUGCAGAGAGGUUUUUUGAUGUUGGGAUGGCCGAACAACAUGCGGUAACAUUUGCAGCUGGGUUGGCACGUGGAGGGCUGAAGCCGUUCUGCAUAAUUCCUUCAGCUUUCCUCCAAAGAGCCUAUGACCAGGUCUCUCUCUCUCUCUCUCUCUCGCACACACUCACACAGAGAUGGACACAGAGGAUAAGAAAAUAGACAAGGCAGCUAGUGCAAAUGUCUAAUAAAUGGCCUGGUUCUGUCCCCACCUCCCAUGAAAUAAGAGGAAGGGUCUCAUGCAUCAACAACCAACUAUCACUUUAUUUAGAUGUGUAACUUUUUAGCUGUAGCAAGUAAAGGAUCAAUGUAUACAAAAAACACACUAAAUACUUGGUUCAGAAUUUGUUCAGUGGAUUGAAAAUCAUUGAAUUGUAGGUCUAGUCAUUGAGUCAGAGACUUCACAAUUCUCAUUUUCUUUAUCUUAAUUGACACUUCCUAAUAUUGGAAGAGGAAAUGGAGAAUUGAAUAGGUGCUACUAACAAACUAGUCCAUAGGAAAAAAAAGAAUUGACUUGGACAUUUUUCUAGAAGUUUCACAUUUAUCAUAUUGAAGGGGGUGGUUUAUGCCCUCUUCUGGGAAGGGUUACCAUUUAUUUACUGUAAGCAGUACGUACCUAGGUUUCCAAAUGAUGGUUGCAGUUUACCUUAUAAUUCUCUUUCAAUAUUCAUGAUAUCUUUCUGGUCCCUCGUUUAUCUGUCUUAGAAAUUCAAUUGAGAUCAAGAAAUGAGCAACUAAAGCAAGAUCUUUGGUUGUGUCUGCAAAUGUUUUAGGCAAGUUUUCCAAAAUCUCAAGCAAAUGCAACCUAAAAGUCCUGAACAUCUAAAAAUAUCAUUAGAUUAUUUUUCCUUGUCCAUGUCAGAUUGAUUUUGUUCUUUUUGUCCCGCAGCUUUGACUUCCAUGCAUCAUGUUCCUUAGUAUUGGAAACAUGUCCAGAAAAGUAACUUCAUUGUUGUUAUAUUUCUGAGCAGUAGGUCACUCUUUAUUUAAUCAGCCUCACGCAGUGAGUCUGAAAUCCUGUACUUGCUUGGAAUUUGUUGUUUUUGUCCAAAUAAUCAUUUUAAAGAAGAAGAUGGGUCUUAUCCAGAGGAAAAAGAAAAGCAAUAGGGAGGAAACAAAGAUGUCCAACUUAUUUCAAACUUAUGAAGUAAAUUGGAUUGUUUAGAAAAUGAAGUAAAGAAGUGGUUCAAUAACUUUGAGAAUGUCAAUUGGGCAUAAAGUAUAUAGGACCAACUUGUUAAAGUAAUUGAGAUCAGCAUUAAAUGGUUGAUGUGUUGCUGAAAGUUUUGGUCUAUAACUUGUGUCAUUAUCAUUUUAUGUGUAUCUUUACUUUAUCAAAUGAAUAAAUUAAGAUUUCAAUGACCGCGAUGCGAUGGAUAGUCACUGCUAUAUGGUAAAAUUGAUCCUGUUCUGUACGAGUCUACAGGUUGAUAGCUUCCAACUUCAGUUUUGUCCAGGCACAUUAAUAGACGACUUUUAUUUGGGGUUUCUAAGACAUCUUGUACCAAAGAAAUGUUUUCAAUUUGAGCAUCAGCGUGUUAAGAUAAAGCACAAUUUUCUAAAGUUCCCGUCAUGUUUUAUUGGCUGGUUAGGUUGUCCAUGAUGUAGAUCGUCAGAAGGUUCCCGUGCGUUUCAUCAUUACAAGUGCUGGAUUAGUAGGAUCUGAUGGUCCUAUACAUUGUGGGGCAUUUGAUAUAGCAUUUAUGUCCUGUUUGCCAAACAUGAUCGUGAUGGCUCCUUCUGAUGAAGUUGAGCUUUCUCAUAUGGUUGCAACUGCUGCCCUUAUUGAUGACAGGCCGGUUUGCUUCCGCUACCCUCGGGGUGCCCUUUCAGUGAUGGAACACUCAUUUAGUGGAAUUCCCAUUGAGGUAAUACUUUGGCAAAUAGAUCUAGAAAGGUUCUGAUGCAUUCAUGAUAAUGGUAACUCAAUAUUUUAGUACAGGUUUGAUUUGAAUUAUCACCUAAUAUUUUCAGUUUCUUUUACUAAAUCAAUUUUGUAAUUUACAAUUGGCAUUCCGUGUUUAUUUUAUAGAAAACUGUAUUAUUACCCAUAUAUUGCUUUAAGGGAUGUGAUAUAUUUGAAUGUUUAUCCAACAACUUGUUUCGUAAUGUGAUUGGUCUACAUAACACGAUCAAAUAAGCCCCUUCAUAUUUGAAUUUGCAUUUAUACACUUUUUUGUUUUGUUGUUGUGGAGAAGGUUGGCAGAGGGAGAAUACUUACAGAGGGUAAAGAUGUUGCUUUACUUGGCUAUGGAUCCAUGGUACAAAAUUGUCUGAGAGCCCAAUCACUUCUUUCAAAGCUUGGUGUUGAAGUGACUGUCGCUGAUGCAAGAUUCUGCAAGCCCCUUGACAUACAACUUCUUAGGCAAUUAUGCAAGAACCAUUCCUUUCUAGUUACAGUCGAGGAAGGCUCUAUAGGAGGAUUUGCAUCACAUGUAGCACAGUUCCUCUCACUCGAUGGGCAGCUCGAUGCAGGAAUUAAGGUAAAUUUCAAAUCGCUCCUGAAUCAUUUUGCUCAAUGAUAGCUGUAGGAGUUCUUUUCAAUACGAACACAAGUCACAUUUCCACAUUAGAAGUAUGAGCUGCUUUCCUUUAAUUCUUCUGACUCGUGAUUUAGAAACUUUUAAUAUAAUGCUAAGCUUAUAUGUCUCCUUCCCCUCUCCCUCUUUCCAAGCACAGUUUCUUUCCACGUUACUGAAUCUGAAUGGACAUCUUUGACUUGGAAUAUGUUUUCGAACAUCAUGAUUUCUUCUAUAUCAUUUUAAAUACUAUAAGGUCUGAGGUUAAAGGUUAAAACUUCUUUUUUGAUGAUCUAUUCUUAGUGGCGACCAAUCACUUUGCCUGACAACUAUAUCGAGCAAGCAUCACCAAAAGAGCAGCUUGCUGUUGCAGGACUGACUGGAAAUCACAUAGCUGCAACUGCACUGAGUCUGCUUGGCCGUACUCGAGAAGCUCUUCUUUUGAUGUGCUAAAUUCUAUUUCAUUGUUCUUGUAAAGUGUAAAUAUCUUAGGCCCUCCUCUACAUACUUAUGAAGUGUAGUAGUGGAAAAUACACAAGGUAGGAGGAGGGGGGAAAGAAGAAAAUAAACAGGAUGAGGAGGUUUGUGAUAGGAAAGAAGCAGUCCAUAUUUCUGAGAGUAGGUGCAACAAUGUACCUCAUUUCUUGAGUGACAAAUGGCCCAUUGGCUUGGCAACUUCUAACACUCGCAUCUGAAAAGUGUGGUCUUGUGAAGGCCAAACAUCAAAGCGUUUUCGCCUGAUGUUAAGUAUGGCUUGCCAUGGCAAAAGUUUAGACAUUUUUUACUUGAGUAUUGAGGUGCGUGGUUAAAGUUUGUGUCAUGCAUGUCUAAAUCAUUUUUUUGGCCCUAAUUAUUUUUGAAGGGUUAUGUUUUUUUAGCAGUAUUUUCAGUUUCAAUGAAUUUGCAUGACUCCAGCCCAGAUUCAUAAUGUGUUGACUGACCUACAUGUAAAAACACACAACAUGUGAUAAUCAGAACCACAAAGCUUUUCAUAUAUACAUAACUGACCUACAUGUAAAAAUGGCCUCAACUUUUAGAUAUGUGUGUUUGAAACUUUGACAAAAAAUAAGAAUUUUGUAUCUCAAAUUUUAACAUCCAAAUAAGCUUGAAUUUGAAACAUAACUUUCAUAUAUCAUAAAGAUCAUACCUCAAUCAUCAAUUUGUCAAAAAUAACAAUAAAUCUAACAAAUUCAUUUAAUUUAACUUAAUACAUGUUAAAAUUGAUUAAAAUUUUAGUCAUAUGUGUCUAAAUGCAGAAGGAGAAAAAGGCAAAAAGAAGUAUGUGAAUUUGCUUGAAAGUUACCUAAUAUAUUGAAUAUUGGUAUAAAAAAAAGAGUGUAGGAUAGAUAUUACUUAAAUAGGGAGACCAAAAUAGGAGGAGUUUCUUCCUCCCGCGCUCGUCGCCGCCCGGCCCGCAUUAGAGGGGAAGAUUAGCAAAGCGGGAAAAGAAAGAGGGAAGGGGAGCAGCAUCUUAUUCUCUUCGCGAGAACUUCCGGAUCGUAGAAGCAUUCGGAACGGGCUCCGCGUUCAUUUCGUUGGCAGAAACGAUCCAUCCCAUUCGGGGAACCAAAAAAUUGGACUUGAGAAUCUCUACUUUUGAUUUUUAACUUUUUUUUAAAAGUUAUUUUAAGUUAGUUUUAACUUUGUCAAACACUCUCAAAACUCAAAAGCUAAAAAUGACUUACAAGCAUGUUUGACCAACUUUUAAGUCAAUCCAAAUAAGCUCUUAAACUUAUAUAAAGUUAAACAAGUAGACACAUAAAUCAUAUGACAUAAUAUAUGUAGGACACAAAAUUCUAUAAGUUUCCAUUUUUCAUAUUUUCACUGUUAACUUAUAGAAAUAAUAAAACAAUUACCACAAAAGUACUGUACUUCCGAUAUAUAGUCGAAAAGUACACUAUCUUCUUUUUCUUUUCUUUCUUUUUUUUCCACUUAAUGUUUGAUAUCCACGUUAAAGUCAGACUAAAUUUGAAUACAUGCCGAAAAAUUUCAUAUUGAAAGAUUUUGUAAAUAUAUUGUAAAAUAUUUUAAGAAUAUACUAUCAUCCAAAUAUGAAUGCAUAUUACUACAAUAUAUUAUAUAAGGGCGGAUCGUAGGUUUUCGGAAUCCUCACCUACUUGGGUAAAGAGAAAUUCAUUUUUGAUUAGUAAUAUAUUUGAAAAAUAUUUUUAAGUGUGUAACAAUUUUUUUUAAAAUUCUAGUCGUUUUUUAUUCCAAAAAGUAAAAAGCAGAACGCAUGCAAUGCUUCACGUUAGUUUCUCCUUUCUUGAAAUAAUAAUAAUUACAAAGUCCACUAAAAAGAAAUCAACCAAUAAAAUAUUUUUUUACCCAAAUUUCAAAUCAAAUUUGAAACCAAAAAAGUGAGAAAAAAAGAAACACUCAGGUCAGGGUUAAAAAAUUGCUUUUGAUUCUCCCAUAUUCUCUUUUAGUUUGUUUUUUUCAUGUUUUUGUGUUUAUUUUCUGUUUUGAAAUUCCAUUUAAUUGAAAGAGGUGUAAAUAGUGCAUGACACAGUCAUUGUCUAUUAUUUUUAACUAGUGGAGAACAUAAAAUUGAAAAAGUAACAAUGUGAUCUUAAUAAUAUAAAGCACGUUUAGUUGGGAAUAAAUUAUAUCAAGAUUAACUAUUUUAGGUUGUUUUUCUAUCCUUAAUGUAUGUGGAAUAAAAAUAAAGUAUUACAAUAUAAGGAUAACUAGUUUUGAGAUAAGUUAUUUUGUAAUUUUAUUCCAAUCAAAUAUGGGAUAGACUCAUCCUAGAACUAAUUCCAAAAUUAAUUAUUCCUUAUCCCUCAUACCAAACGAGCAAUACAUCAUUAAGUGAUUCUGCGAGUAUUAUUUUAUGCAUAAUUAAACAUAUUACACACACAAAAAGGGAAGUUAACUCUUUCUUUGUUGAUUGAUUUUGAUAGUAAUGAGAAUGAAAAUGAAAUUUCAUCUUGUGGUUCAAAUUGAUAUAUGUUGGUCUAAUUCUUUGAUUUGCAAUAUUCUAUUUUAGAAGUUAAUUUUUUGGGUUUUAGUUAUUCAUUUUAAAUUAAACUUCUGUAUUUAAAUAAGUUGAAAUUAUAAAGUGAGAGUCUAUAUAAUCACAAAAUCUAAGCCUCAAAUCAUUUGGUUUUCUCUUCACUAAGUUCUCUUUCAUAUUCAGUUAUUCAAGAUGAUCGAUGUCAUUUCUUCUCGACCAUCAAAUAACGAUAGAAUAUUGAAUUUGGAUUCUUUUGAAUCCGAUCAUGCUAAAAGAAAACAAAUUUAAGAACCUCGCUAAUCUAUUGAAAAUCAACAAAUUAACUUAAAAUUCUGAAUCCGUUUAAAUAAAACAAAAGGACAAGAAUAUCCUUAGUUAAUUCAGAUAAAUUUUCUGGACCACUUUAUUGAUUAUUCAGUCCAUUUUGUGUGUAUAUAUAUAUAUAUAUAUNNNNNNNNNNNNNNNNNNNNNNNNNNNNNNNNNNNNNNNNNNNNNNNNNNNNNNNNNNNNNNNNNNNNNNNNNNNNNNNNNNNNNNNNNNNNNNNNNNNNNNNNNNNNNNNNNNNNNNNNNNNNNNNNNNNNNNNNNNNNNNNNNNNNNNNNNNNNNNNNNNNNNNNNNNNNNNNNNNNNNNNNNNNNNNNNNNNNNNNNNNNNNNNNNNNNNNNNNNNNNNNNNNNNNNNNNNNNNNNNNNNNNNNNNNNNNNNNNNNNNNNNNNNNNNNNNNNNNNNNNNNNNNNNNNNNNNNNNNNNNNNNNNNNNNNNNNNNNNNNNNNNNNNNNNNNNNNNNNNNNNNNNNNNNNNNNNNNNNNNNNNNNNNNNNNNNNNNNNNNNNNNNNNNNNNNNNNNNNNNNNNNNNNNNNNNNNNNNNNNNNNNNNNNNNNNNNNNNNNNNNNNNNNNNNNNNNNNNNNNNNNNNNNNNNNNNNNNNNNNNNNNNNNNNNNNNNNNNNNNNNNNNAUAUGUGACUAAUUACGUCCUUGAUCACUCAGUGUCACAUGCAUAAAAAGCAAUGAAUAGGUAAUCGAUUAUUGUAAUUAAUCCCAUGUAAUUAAUGGUAUGUUUUUUGUUACAUAAUAAAGUCAUUAAACUAACCUACCACAUGAAGAGUUGGAAACAACAAAUCACAUGCAAUAACCAUAUACUUUGCUUCCUUUUUCACAUCAAUAAUCAAAUCAUGACGUUCAUGCAUGAAGAAGCAAAGAUUUGGGUAAAUCUUCUUUUUACCUUUUUAAGAAGAUUAAUUAGUACUUUCUUGAUCGAGAUUUAAAUUUUAUGAGUUUUUAUAAAUUAAUAUACAUUAAUAAUUAUGUUUAUAGUUAAAUAUCUUUAUAAAUAUUUAGUAGAUUUUUUAUUUAUUGUUAUAUAUAAAGAUUUGGAUAAAAGUUAUCAGAUUUUCAUACUCGUUACCAUUUAUGUGAAUGUGUUUUACUAAGCAUAGAAUUUAAGGAUAGAAAAAUAUACUUCUAAAAUUCGUCGUCUAAAAUAAAUUAUAAAUCUUGAUGUCGCUACAUAAAGUAUUUUAAUUGUGAUAAAAAUAAGAAAUCAUACAUUUUAAAAUACUUUAUUUUUUUGUAAAUUUUAUAUCAAGUUAAAUAACAUCACAUAAAUUAUUACGGUGCGAAAGAGUAUACCAUAACCGAAAUGGUGUCUCUCUUUGCUUGCGUGUGUAUAAUCUUAUAUACGUCUUUAAAGCACAUUGGGCAACAUGCACUAUGCAUGUUCAUGUAAAUUAAAUAUAUUUCCAAACUCACGAGAUAUUUCUCUCUCGGUUAAAUAAUAGUUGUUCAUUAUUAACUCUGCAUACUUCUUAAGAAAUUAUAAAUGGAAGAGUAAUUUUACUGUAUCACUCUUUGAAUAUAAUAAAUACAAUGUCUUGAAAAAUGUAAUAGGAAAAUUGUUAUAAUUAAUGACAAGGAUAAAUUAAGAACUAAGUGUCACGAUCCAGACCAUCGUGACCCACACUAACCCUCCGGUGGGAGAACCACUACUAUAUGCCCAAACCAAGCAACUAAACCAAAAACUAAAGCAUUUAAGUUAUGGAAGCAAGUUAAAUAGCUAAAAACUGAAGUUUCCAUAAACUUCCAAAAGAUCUAACAACUAAACAAAUACGGAAAUACUACAGUCAAUGUACCAAAACAUCUAACAAUGAACCAAAGUCUAAACAAGAAGAGAUGAAUUAAUAACUAACUAGAAAGUCUAAGUCCGAAAUGUGGACAUAGACGAAAGGAGAACUCAUGGUAGCCUGAAAGAACUGGCUCACCCUUGAAUUCGAUCGGCGAUCAUUGAUCUUCUAAAUGAGGUCUGUCAAUAGCAGCUUCAAGAUGCCAUGUACUCAACAAAGAAAGAGCAAGUGCAGUAUCAGUACACAACCACAAUGUACUAGUAGGAUCACACGGCUAUCCCACUAAGUGCAACAUAAACAAGUCAAUACAACAAUAUAAUCACAUGCAUAUAUUGAACAUAUACAAUAUUAUCAACAUUUACGAACAACGAACAACUUCACAUUUCUCAAGAUACGCAAAUAUGACAAAUCAUUGGUANNNNNNNNNNNNNNNNNNNNNNNNNNNNNNNNNNNNNNNNNNNNNNNNNNNNNNNNNNNNNNNNNNNNNNNNNNNNNNNNNNNNNNNNNNNNNNNNNNNNNNNNNNNNNNNNNNNNNNNNNNNNNNNNNNNNNNNNNNNNNNNNNNNNNNNNNNNNNNNNNNNNNNNNNNNNNNNNNNNNNNNNNNNNNNNNNNNNNNNNNNNNNNNNNNNNNNNNNNNNNNNNNNNNNNNNNNNNNNNNNNNNNNNNNNNNNNNNNNNNNNNNNNNNNNNNNNNNNNNNNNNNNNNNNNNNNNNNNNNNNNNNNNNNNNNNNNNNNNNNNNNNNNNNNNNNNNNNNNNNNNNNNNNNNNNNNNNNNNNNNNNNNNNNNNNNNNNNNNNNNNNNNNNNNNNNNNNNNNNNNNNNNNNNNNNNNNNNNNNNNNNNNNNNNNNNNNNNNNNNNNNNNNNNNNNNNNNNNNNNNNNNNNNNNNNNNNNNNNNNNNNNNNNNNNNNNNNNNNNNNNNNNNNNNNNNNNNNNNNNNNNNNNNNNNNNNNNNNNNNNNNNNNNNNNNNNNNNNNNNNNNNNNNNNNNNNNNNNNNNNNNNNNNNNNNNNNNNNNNNNNNNNNNNNNNNNNNNNNNNNNNNNNNNNNNNNNNNNNNNNNNNNNNNNNNNNNNNNNNNNNNNNNNNNNNNNNNNNNNNNNNNNNNNNNNNNNNNNNNNNNNNNNNNNNNNNNNNNNNNNNNNNNNNNNNNNNNNNNNNNNNNNNNNNNNNNNNNNNNNNNNNNNNNNNNNNNNNNNNNNNNNNNNNNNNNNNNNNNNNNNNNNNNNNNNNNNNNNNNNNNNNNNNNNNNNNNNNNNNNNNNNNNNNNNNNNNNNNNNNNNNNNNNNNNNNNNNNNNNNNNNNNNNNNNNNNNNNNNNNNNNNNNNNNNNNNNNNNNNNNNNNNNNNNNNNNNNNNNNNNNNNNNNNNNNNNNNNNNNNNNNNNNNNNNNNNNNNNNNNNNNNNNNNNNNNNNNNNNNNNNNNNNNNNNNNNNNNNNNNNNNNNNNNNNNNNNNNNNNNNNNNNNNNNNNNNNNNNNNNNNNNNNNNNNNNNNNNNNNNNNNNNNNNNNNNNNNNNNNNNNNNNNNNNNNNNNNNNNNNNNNNNNNNNNNNNNNNNNNNNNNNNNNNNNNNNNNNNNNNNNNNNNNNNNNNNNNNNNNNNNNNNNNNNNNNNNNNNNNNNNNNNNNNNNNNNNNNNNNNNNNNNNNNNNNNNNNNNNNNNNNNNNNNNNNNNNNNNNNNNNNNNNNNNNNNNNNNNNNNNNNNNNNNNNNNNNNNNNNNNNNNNNNNNNNNNNNNNNNNNNNNNNNNNNNNNNNNNNNNNNNNNNNNNNNNNNNNNNNNNNNNNNNNNNNNNNNNNNNNNNNNNNNNNNNNNNNNNNNNNNNNNNNNNNNNNNNNNNNNNNNNNNNNNNNNNNNNNNNNNNNNNNNNNNNNNNNNNNNNNNNNNNNNNNNNNNNNNNNNNNNNNNNNNNNNNNNNNNNNNNNNNNNNNNNNNNNNNNNNNNNNNNNNNNNNNNNNNNNNNNNNNNNNNNNNNNNNNNNNNNNNNNNNNNNNNNNNNNNNNNNNNNNNNNNNNNNNNNNNNNNNNNNNNNNNNNNNNNNNNNNNNNNNNNNNNNNNNNNNNNNNNNNNNNNNNNNNNNNNNNNNNNNNNNNNNNNNNNNNNNNNNNNNNNNNNNNNNNNNNNNNNNNNNNNNNNNNNNNNNNNNNNNNNNNNNNNNNNNNNNNNNNNNNNNNNNNNNNNNNNNNNNNNNNNNNNNNNNNNNNNNNNNNNNNNNNNNNNNNNNNNNNNNNNNNNNNNNNNNNNNNNNNNNNNNNNNNNNNNNNNNNNNNNNNNNNNNNNNNNNNNNNNNNNNNNNNNNNNNNNNNNNNNNNNNNNNNNNNNNNNNNNNNNNNNNNNNNNNNNNNNNNNNNNNNNNNNNNNNNNNNNNNNNNNNNNAGUUCCUUGUGUGCUAAGAGAUAUGCCCCUUUAAAGUUGACCUUCCAAAUCGCAUUUUUUGCGAUUUUCAAAUUUUGAUACGGUUGCUCUAAAAUUCGGGUUAGACCCAUUUCCCACUCAAUUUGACCCCCUGAAUAAGAAUAUGAAGUCGAAUUUCCGAAAUCAUGCACGAAUUUUGAGAUAUAAGGAAAUUACAAUUAUAGGUGUUUCCGAAGCACAUUUUCGGGCAUUUUUAGGGUCGUUUCAAUCACCUACCUCGAAACAAGCCUGAAACCCUAAGAAACUUAAUCCUUCCCUUUCUAGAUUCGUUCUGCUUGUUCUUGGUCUGCAAACAAUCAAUAUAAUACGGGAAUCAAUAAACAAUCACUAAUUACCCAGAUUACUAACAAUUCUACCAACCCUAGAUCAUACCCAUGAUCCCAAGUAUCCAAAUUAGGGCUUUUUCCACCAUAGUUUCUAGAUCAAAACCCUCCCUCAUCGAUAAUUGCCCAUUCGAUUACGUUCUACGGAUCGAAAAAUGGAUUCGGGGAGUUAAAAUCUUACCUUUAGCCUCAAGAAUGGUGGAAAACCAUGAAGAAAAGCCUUAGGUUUGUUCCUUAGCUCUCAAAUUCGAAAAGUGCAGAAUAAAAUAUUUUUGGGGUUUAUUUACGACUUUAAGUCCCGUCUGGCCCGCUACAGCCGCCCCGCCCCUGGUGACCGAAAUCACCGCCAAAGCGGCUUGCACGAAACAUUGAGCAAAUUAAAGAAUUCCAAAACCCCCAUUUCACAACACGUCUUCGACCAACGAUACUCAGAAACUACCCGUUCACGCUAAGAUCAACUUCGGGAGUUCUACUCCCUCGAAUUCAAUUAUGUAAAGUCGUACGAAUUUCUUAACGACAUAUCUAACUACUCAUGAAAUCAAAAUCAUAAUUAGAUCACCCAAUUGCUACCAGAUUUCUCUAGACUUUAAUGACUCUGAUUUCGUCCAAAUCUGGACUAGGUUGAGAAAUUCCAAGUUACUACGAAAAAGUUUUCCGGCCUAAAUUUUUUCCCCGUUAGCUUUUCUAUACGGAACCCGGUCGUUAUAAUAGAUACCAAUUUACCCACCACUCGUCCCCAAGUGACAAACUUAGGAAAAUAAGCUUAGAAAGGAAUGAAGUAGUACCUGAAUCGACGAACAAUUGGGGAUACUUGUCUCGCAUGUCCCUUUCGGUUUCCUAAGUAGCUUCCUCAAUUGGACGAUGCUUCCAUUGAACUUUCACGGACUUAAUCUUUUUGGUCCUCAGCUUACUUUAUAAUAUAAUCUCCAUCACCAUGAUAUCUCUUCAACAUGGACACAUGAAAUACCAGAUGAACUCCCAAUAAAUUAGGAGGUAAAGCCAAUCUAUACGCCACUGGCCCUACGCAUUCAAGACUCUCAAAGGGACCAAUGUAUCGCGGACUUAGCUUACCUUUCUUGCCAAAUCUCAUCACCCCUUUCAUGGGUGAUACCUUAAGAAGAACAUUCUCACCGGUUUGAAACGCCAUGUCUCUUACCUUUUGAUCUAUAUACUUUUUCUGUCUACUCUGGGCUGCUAAAAGCUUAGCUUGAUACUCCUUACCUUAUCUUGAGCAUCAUUCACUAAAUCAACCCCAGAGGUUUCACAUCUCCAGCCUCAAACCAUCCUAUGGGUAUUCUACAUCCCCUCCCAUAAAGUGACUCAAAUGGUGUCAUAUCAAUGCUGGAGUGAUAACUAUUAUUAUANNNNNNNNNNNNNNNNNNNNNNNNNNNNNNNNNNNNNNNNNNNNNNNNNNNNNNNNNNNNNNNNNNNNNNNNNNNNNNNNNNNNNNNNNNNNNNNNNNNNNNNNNNNNNNNNNNNNNNNNNNNNNNNNNNNNNNNNNNNNNNNNNNNNNNNNNNNNNNNNNNNNNNNNNNNNNNNNNNNNNNNNNNNNNNNNNNNNNNNNNNNNNNNNNNNNNNNNNNNNNNNNNNNNNNNNNNNNNNNNNNNNNNNNNNNNNNNNNNNNNNNNNNNNNNNNNNNNNNNNNNNNNNNNNNNNNNNNNNNNNNNNNNNNNNNNNNNNNNNNNNNNNNNNNNNNNNNNNNNNNNNNNNNNNNNNNNNNNNNNNNNNNNNNNNNNNNNNNNNNNNNNNNNNNNNNNNNNNNNNNNNNNNNNNNNNNNNNNNNNNNNNNNNNNNNNNNNNNNNNNNNNNNNNNNNNNNNNNNNNNNNNNNNNNNNNNNNNNNNNNNNNNNNNNNNNNNNNNNNNNNNNNNNNNNNNNNNNNNNNNNNNNNNNNNNNGUUGACAAUUCUGACACUUAGCCACAAACUCCUCUAUAUCCUUCUUCAUGCCCGGCCACCAAUAAAUUUGCUUAAAAUCUCGGUACAUCUUGGUCACACCCGGAUGAAUACAAUAUCGCGAACCAUGAGAUUUCGCUAACAAUUUCUGAAUCAAGUCAUCUACUCUAGGAACACAGAUUCUUCCUUUAAAAGUGAGCACAUCUUCCGCAUCAAGAGUGGUCUCUUGUGCUUUACCAAUCACAGUCUUCUUCUUAAGUUCAUUCAAAUUUUCAUCCUCAAAUUGUUUGGCCUUUAUCUCUUCAAUGAAUGUGGCCCUCAGUUCAAUGCUAGUUAACACCCCGCCUCUUUCAGAGAUGCCCAACUGCAUGAAUUUAGACUCCAAGGUCUGGAUUUCCUUAGCUAAGGGUCNNNNNNNNNNNNNUACACUCAAGCAAGCUAAACUACCCAUACUCACCAUUUUUCGACUCAAAGCGUCAGCCACCACAUUAGCUUAGCCCGGAUGGUAUUGAAUGGUCACAUCAUAAUCCUUGAGUAACUCCAUCCACCUUCUCUGUCUCAAAUUCAGAUCCUUUUGAGUAAACACAUGUUACAAACUACGAUGAUCAGUAAACAUCUCAUACUUAACACCAUAAAGGUAAUGCCGCCAGAUCUUAAGAGCAAACACUUCCGCUGCCAACUCCAAAUCAUGUGUUGGGUAAUUCCGUUCAUGCACCUUCAAUUGACGCGAUGCAUAAGCUAUAACAUUAUUAUCAUGAAUCAACACAGCACCCAAACCAGAUUGUGAAGCAUUACAAUAAUAAAAUCUUUACCUUCAACUGGUAGUGCUAGAAUAAGUGCGGUGGUCAAAAAAGUCUUGAGUUUUUGAAAGCUCUUCUCACAUUUUUCAGUCCAUUCAAAUGGUAUCUCCUUUUUGGUCAAAUUAGUCAAGUGAGUGGCAAUAGAAACAAAGUUCUUUACAAAUCGAUGAUAGUAGCUAGCGAGCCUCACAAAACUCCUAACUUUCGUCACAGAGCUAGGUUGAACCAAAUUCCUAACCGCCUCAAUCUUUUUAGGAUCUACCAUUACCCCUUUUUUUGACACUACAUGUCCCAAAAAUGCAACAGAAGUCAACCAAAAUUCACACUUAAAAAAUUUAGAAUACAACCUGUGUUUCCCAAGAACACCGAGAACAAUACGAAGAUGAUCGACAUGAUCUUCUUCACUUUUUGAAUAGACCAAAAUAUCAUCAAUGAAGACUAUAACAAACGAAUCAAGAAAUUGAUUGAACACCCCAUUCAUCAAACUCAUGAAAGUUGCAGGCGCGUUAGUCUAACCAAAAGACAUAACUAGAAACUCGUAGUGCCCAUAGCGGGUUCUAAACGCCGUCUUGGGCACAUUCUCAAGCCUAAUUUUCAACUAAUGGUAGCCACACCUUAAAUCAAUCUUAGAGAAAACUGAUGCACCUUGCAAUUGGUUAAAAAGAUCAUCUAUUCGAGGCAAAUGAUACUUGUUUAGAAUAAUGACCCUAUUCAAUUGCCAGUAAUCUAUACACAUUCUCAUACUACCAUCUUUUUUACUAACAAACAAAAUUGGAGCACCCGCACCCCAUGGGGAAGCACUAAGACGAAUAAAUCACUUAUCAAGAAGCUCUUUUCAGUCUUAAGCUCUUUUAAUUCUGUUGGAGCCAUACGAUAUGGAGGGAUAGAAAUGGGACGCGUGCCAGGUUCUAAAUCAAUGCAGAAAUCUAUAUCUCUAUCCAGAGGCAUACCAUGCAAGUCAUUAGGAAACACUUUUCUAAAUUCUGACACCACAUGAAUAGACUCAAUAGAUGGAGACUCAACCUCAAUAUCCCGAAUAUGAGCCAAAUAAGCCAAACAACCAUGCUUUACCAAUUUUCUAGCCCAAAUGGAGGAUAUGAUCUUAGCUUGCUUAGACUUGUACACCCCUUCCCACUCUAAUUUUCCCUUCCCGAAAUUUCUAGAGUUACAGACUUAGUAUUACAAUUAAUCACAAUAUAAUAGGGGGAUAACCAAGUCAUGCCUAAGAUUAUAUCAAAGUCAGAAAUAUCCAAAGUCACCAAAUCAGCCCAAGUCUGAAAACCCAUAAACAAAAUAUGACAAGCACGAUAGACAUGGGUGAUUAUGACAGACAUUCCAACUGGGGUAGAAACAUGGAUGAGGGCAUCAAGUAUAUCACGAAUCAUAGAAAAUUAUAAGGCAAAUCGCACGGAUACAUAAGAAUAAGUGGAACCCGGAUCAAAUAACACAUUAGCCAUCCAGUCACAUACAAUAAUAGUACAUGUGAUCACUGCGUCGGACACCACUGCCUCACUCUUGCCUGAAAAGGCAUAACAUUGAGCCCUAUCAUCUUGACGAGCUACUUCCCUGCCUGGUUACGCUGCACUUCUGCAUGCGUUACUAUUUCCUCUACCCCCCACGGCCUCGCUGAUUACCUCCUCACCCACCUUAUGGACGCCCUCGACCAUUAUUACCAUUUUCCGCGGGUACCACUUAUCUAGUCUGUUGUUGCACGGAAUCCAUCAUGCGCGGGUGGGGACAAUCUCUCCUCAUAUGCCCAGGUUUUCCACAAUUGUAGCAAGUACGAUCAAAAGAUGGUCUGCCUCCCGUCAAAGGCGUGACUCCUUGACUAUCCUGAAUCAAAUUAUGAGGUGGAGUUCCUGAGUAGUUACCUGUAGAGGUGGGAAUAUCAGACUGAAUUGGCUUGGAUGCAAGCAUUGGCCUUCCGUACCCCCUGGAGUAAGAACCUUGAAAGUUACCCGAGUUCUUGGCCAUUUUAGCCAAUGCCUUAGCUUGACUGUCUCGCCUCACCCCCUCCACUUUCUUAACAAAGUCAGUUACCUCAUUAAAGCUCCUCCCUGCAGAGGUCAUAUGAAUAGAUAAUACCUGCAACUCAGAAUUUAGUUCCCUAAUAAAUAAACGGAUCUUGUCUUCCUCAGUAGUUACCAAUUGAGUUGCAUAUCUAGACAAAGCAUGUAACUUGGCCUCAUAAGCAGCCACAGACAUACCACCUUGCUCUAAAGCCAUGAACUCAUCCUUCUUGCGAUCUCUCAAAGUCCUAGGAACAUAUUUCUCUAAAAACAGAGCAUGAAAUUGGGUCCAAGAGAGUGGGGGUAAUGUUGAAGAUCUGCACUCUACAUAAGCUCUCUACCACUGCUUAGCCUCACAUUGAAGUUGGAAAGUCACGAACUCAACCCCAUGCUGAUGGACAAUUCCCAACUUAUGAAACCUCUCAUAGCAGUCUAAGAUAAACUCAUAAGCAUCCUCAUUCUCAGAACCAAGAAAUACAGGAGGCUUUAGCUUCAAAAACUUAGUCAACAUCUCAUGUUCAUUACCAGUCAUAACAGAACCCAUCAAAGGACGGAAGAAAACAUCAUUACCUCCAGUCCCACCCACCUUGGGCACAGAGCUAGCAACAUGGGGAUUAGCGGGAGCUUGAGUUGCUUGAACAGAGAGAAGCACUCCAGGACCAACCAACCCUUUCAAGAAUGACAUGAUAUGUUGAGCUAACACUGGGUCCAAAUAAGAAAUACAUGUAGUUUCAGCUUGCACCUUUUCCUCUUGUCUAACCUUCUCAACACUUUCAAACUCAACAUUCUCCUCUAUCUCUUCAUGAUGCACAUGAGGGGCCUCAUUUUGGGGAGCAUUUUCUAUCGGUACCCAUCUCUAGUAGGCGUCACUCUUCCACAGCCUCUACCCCUUGCUCUUCCUUUACCCAUGCCUCGACCAUGACCUCUCGCUGCAGAUUUCUCAGCUGAAGCAUUGAUGAGAGCUACGGGCCUGACGUCAUUUAAUGUAUUGUUAACCAUCUGUGGACAGAAGAGUGAAGGAGGUCAUAUACCAAUUUGAAUCGCCAGAUAUCAAUUGGAAUCAAGUCAUAGCACGAAAUGAGACAAGAGAAAACAGAGAGAUUUCCUAAAGUCCUAUAGCCUGUCGAAGAAAAGUAAAGGUGUCCCUGGACCGUUCCGCAAGACUCUACUAGACUCAUUUUGGUACAUCGAGAUCAACGAACCUAGGCUCCGAUACAACCUUUGUCACGACCCAGACCAUCGUGAUUGACACCCACACUAACCCUCUGAUGGGAGAACCACUACUACAACCCAAACCAAACAACUAAACCAAAAACUAAAGCAUUUAAGUUACGGAUGCAAGUUAAAUACCUAAAAACUAAAGUUCUCAUAAACUUCCAAAAAAUCUAACAACUAAACAAAUACGGAAAUACUACCUAGAACUUCAAAGUCAAUGUACCAAAACAUCUAAUAAUGAACCAAAGUCUAAACAAGAAGGGUUACAAACCCAAACUAACGAACUAAUAACUAACUAGAAAGUCUAAGUCUGAAAUGUGGACAUAGACAAAAGGAGAACUCAUGGCAACAUGAAAGAACUGGCUCACCCUUGAAUUCGAUCGGCGAUCACUGAUCUUCUAAACGAGGUAUGUCAAUAGCCGCUUGAAAAUGCCCUGUACUCAACAAAGAAAGAGCAAGUGCAGUAUCAGUACAUAACCACAGUGUACUGGUAGGAUCACGCGGCUAUCCCACUAAGUGCAACGUACACAAGUUAAUACAACAAUAUAAUCACAUGCAUAUAUCAAACAUAUACAAUAUUAUCAACAUUUACGAACAAUGAACAACUUCACAUUUCUCAAGAUACACAAAUAUGACAAGUCAUUGGUCCUCUCAUGGAACUCAAACCCAAACAAUUAGCAUACCGGAACGUGGUACCUAAUCCAAUGAUUAUGCUGGAACGUGGCAACCGAUCCCAAGUUAGUGUGUCGGAACGCAACACCUGAUCUAUUCAACAAGCCACAAUCACAAUCACAAGGUACAUUUUCAUAAUCAUACAAUCAAGUCAUGAUUCGUGGCAUUCAUCAUUCAUAUAUCCUCAUUUACAAUUAAUGUGAUCAAUAAUGCAACAUUCGCAUACAUACAUGUAUCAUAAUGAAGCAAGAACGAACAUACAUCACACAAUCAUAGAAUCAUAACCAUCACCUACCUCAAAACAAGCUUGAAACCCUAAGAAACUUGAUCCUUCCCUUUUCGAAUUAGUUUCACUAAUUGUUCUUGGUUUACAAACAAUCAAUAUAAUACGAGAAUCAAUAAACAAUCACUAAUUACUCGGAUUACUAAUAAUUCUAGCAACCCUAGAUCAUACCCAUAAUCCCAAGUAUCCCAAUUAGGGAUUUUUUCACCAUAGGUUCUAGAUCAAAACCCUCCCCCAUCGAUAAUUACCCAUUCAAUUAUGUUCUACGGAUCGAAAAAUGGAUUCGGGGAGUUGAAAUCUUACCUUUAACCUCAAGAAUGGUGGAAAACCGUGAAGAAAAGCCCUAGGUUCGUUCCUUAGCUCUCAAAAUUGAAAAGUGCAAAAUAAAAUGUUUUUGGGGUUUAUUUACAACUUUAAGUCGCAUCUGGGCCGCCACAACGAUCCUCACCCCACUAUAGUGGCCCCGCCUGGUGACUGAAAUCACCGCCAAAGCGGCUUGCACGAAACAGUGAGCAAAUUAAAGAAUUCCAAAACCCCCAUUUCAUAACCGCCUUCAAUCAGCGACACUCAGAAACUACCUGCUCACGUUAUGAUCAAUUUCGGGAGUUCUACUCGCCUGAAUUCAAUUACGUAAAGUCGUACAGAUUUCUUAACGAUUUAUCUAACUACUCAUGAAGUCAAAAUCAUAAUUAGAUCACCCAAUUGCUACCAGAUUUCUCUAGACUUUAUUGACUCUGAUUUCGUCCAAAUCUAGACUAGGUUGAGAAAUUCCAAGUUACUACAAAAAAGUUUUCCGACCCAAAAUUUUCCCCCGUUGGCUUUUUUAUAACGUCAAAACCCGAUCGUUACACUAAGUGUACGUUUUUCAUAAAGUGGACAAGUAUUGUAAGACAUCUUAAAAUAAUAUAGUAAACAACUAUUGUUAAACAUGUCCGGGGUGUAACAUUGGAUUCGGUAUAAAUGAGUUAAUUAUUAAGUUAUGGCGGAAUGACCUGGGAGACCCUUGUACUGGACUCCGUUUGUAAGUUGGACCCUUGUACUAAUCAAUUUGUCAACUGAACCCCUAAACUCAUCAUAACGUAAUAUUUUAAGCUUUUUUUCAUCUGACUAGUGUGUGUGAAGUACAAUUGCUUACACGUGGACUUCCAUGUCAUUUUUAAUGACAUGUAAGAAAUUACAUGUUAUAAAGUAAAAAAAUCAAUUAAGCCAAUUUUGUAAUUUCUGGAAAUUUUAGAUAAGCAUUUUUAAAAAAAUAAAAUAUAUUCCAAAUAAGCGUGUUCUUCAUAUUUAUUCCAAAUUGAACACUAUUAGCCCCCGUUUGGCCAUGCGACAUGGUAUCAUAAUAUGGAAUCAUGAGAUGAAAUUAAAGUUUUGUUUGGAUAUGCGAUAUAUAAUUUUUGUGUUAUAUAUUUUCUCAUACUCAUAAGAAUCCCAUAAGUUGUAAAACUAUUAAAAUAACCCUAAUUGUUUAUUCAAUCUUACCAAAUAAACAAAAAUUUACAAAAUCACAUAAUAAAUUAUUACAAAGCUAUUUGUUUCCCACUUAAGUAACUGUUUCAUCAAGCUUUAAUUCAAUAAAAAAUAUUGAACAUAAAUUGUAGUGAACUAGUCUUAAAUAUAAUCCUCCCACAUAAUACAGACAAUCUCCUCACGUUGAACUUGCAUUUCUCGAUCAUGUGACCCAGAAGACAACCAACAUUGUUACUUUGAGCCAUUUUUUGGUCAAUAUCAUCUGCAACUAUAUUUUCAUGAUCAUAGACCAUAAAUAUUUCAUUACUCCUUUUCACAACUAAUUAUGUAACACUGCACAAGUUAUGACAAUUUUCACUUGUGUGUCAAUAUCAUAAUGGUUCAUGCCUUGUUUCAGUAUUUUGAAUCUAUUUUUCCAAGCUCCAAAAGUCCGUGGGGUUGUCUUAACAAAAUAUAAACUUGUGGAUCAAUUUUUGUGUUUAAAAAAUCUCAAAUCAUGAUAUGAAAUUCCCAUAUAAUUCCAUAUCAUGAUUUUUGGAGAAUAUGGUAUUCCAUCUCAUGAUAUGGAAUCAUGAGAUGGAAUCAGUGUGAAAUCACAUGUCCAAACGCUGAUUCCAUCUCACGAUUCCAUAACGUGAUAUGGUAUCGCAUGGCCAAACGCCUACUAAAUUCAUGUCAAAUAGAUGAGAUUUUUCCCCAUUUGACUUGAAAAUUCAAAUACAAGUUCACCACCACAAAUCCAACUAAUCCUAAUCACAAUUUUUAAUCAAUUUCACAAAUUCACAAGACCCAUUUGCUAUUUUUCAAGCUUUCUCUAACUUAUCAAUGGAGUUUUAAUUUUCAAUAUCCACCAUUAUUCUUUGUAUUGCUAUUUUUCAAGUUUUCUCUAACUUAUCAAUGGAGUUUUAAUUUUUCAAUAUCCACCAUUAUCCUUCGUGAUAAUCCAUACUUAGACCUCUUUUUUGAAGCCUAAAAAAAAAAUCUCAAUACUUUUAGACUAAAAAGCUAAAAUCUAAAAGACUUUUAGACUAAGUGGUUAGGCUGGGCGGCUGAUUUGUAAUGAAAAAGAAGUGUGGGUUGAGAAGAAAGUGGAUGAAGGAGAGAAUGAAGAGGAGGACAGUGAGUGUGGUGGAUGAAAUUUCAAGAAGAAUAAGAAGAGAGAAAGGGGGAUGGGGACGGAGGAGAGAGGGGUGGGGGUGGGGUGGGAGAGGGAUGGUUAAGGAAGAUGAUUUUUUUUUAAAUUGAUAAUUAUUAUUUUUAUUUAAAUUUUUUUAAUGUAAAAUACCUUAUUUAAUCGCUGUCAAACGCGUGUUAUCACGUAAAUUUCCAACUCAACAUUAUCAAUGCCACAUAAGUUCGGUCAAUGGUCAAAUGGGGUUUAAAAUAUUGUGUUCUGAUGAGUUUAGGGGUUCAGUUGACAAAUUGAUAAGUAGAAGGAACCAACUUACAAAUGGAGCCAAGUACAGGGGUCUCCCAGGUCAUUCUGCCUUAAAUUAUUAAAGAGAAAAAGGAAAAAAAAGAGUGAUCAACUUUAUCUAACUAUUGACAAUCGAAAGAGUAUUAAUUAUUUAUAUUCUUGCAACACUUUAUGUACACAAUAUUAAUCUUUUUUAUAAAAAAAAAGUGAAUUCUUUGACUAACACAUUGACUAGUAAAAUAUGCGUGAGUUUGCACUUUAUAACAGGUCUUGGAGAAUGUUUGGUUUGUCAGAGACAUAAAAAUGAUUCAUGUAAUCCAACAUUUAAUAUGUAUUCUUACUCUAUUUAAUUUGUUUUUGUUUCAUUUUUGUUAUCUCCUGCAUUAAGGUUAGCAAAACAGAAACAGAAAAUAGAUGAAACAGACAUAAUAUAAAUAAUCCGAGUGCACAGAACCCACUGUGUUUCCUUAAGAAAUUUAAUCCCCUCAAGUACCCGAGAUUGCAGAUUAAUUACUCCCAAGAUAAAACGGAUUAACCUAUUAGAGAAGUAGCGGUACCUCAAACUUCAAUAAUUUCAGCGAACGCAAGAACAGUAAUGAGAGCACACACAGACUCGGUCGAUCAAUAAUUUUGUUUAUGUAAGAAAAUGUAUGCAGAGAGGAAAAAAUUUCAGUGUUGAAAAACGUAAAAAGAGUCUCUAUUUAUAGCCACUUGCAGCAAGGAAUGCGUCUGUUCGACAAUGGUGUGAACACUUCUGUUCAGACAUGUCUUUCCAGAAUGUUGUGUCUUUUGGGAAAAAUAACGUCUUUUCAGAAGGAACAGAUCCCUUCAAAAUGAUGUUACUGUUACACACAAAUUUCAAAUAAAUCAUGUUACGCGAAAUUAAUUUUAUUAAUUAACUAACAUCCUGAAUUAAUUUAUAAGAGAAAGGAAAUCAAUUAAUGAGAUUGAUUAAAUAAUUUUUGUCCAAAAAUAUUAUCAAUCAAUAACAUCAUUUGCCAAAUCCAAAUCCAAAGCCAAAGCCAAAUCCGAAGCCGAAGUAGAGCGAACAAUGACAACGACGACGCGAGGGGGCACCUUCUUCUUAACCCUUUAAGAACUAAAAGAAGUGUUUCUUUAUAUAAGGACAACCAUUUUCCUUUCUUCAACCAAUAUGGGAGAAAUGACUUUUCAUUUUCCCUCCAAAUUGGUUCCCUCACAUUUCCAUUUUAUCUUCUUAUUUCCCAUUCACAUCUUGCUAAAACCCAACAAUCCCCCACAUGAAUGGGGAAUGGAUAUUGUUAAAACAUAUGCAUGAAAAACUUGUGUGUCUCGUAAGUAAGGAUUAAUCGCAUCUGGAUAAGUAUGUUUCCCUUUAAACUUUCUGUAGUGAACAUAUAUCGAAUAUACUCGGUCAAUUGGUAGAUUUGAUAUCUUUGAACCGUCGAGCUUUGGUGUAUACCUAAACAACAUAAGUCACACAAUCAACCCUUGAACUGUUUUUGAUUCUCAUUGUUUUGUUCAUUUCAGCCAUGAACACGUCUUGGUUAAUAAGUGCUUAGAGAACUGGCCUUACUGAAUUCUUCUUGAAGCGGCUUACACUUCACACUUACAUAGGUGGUUUCUAACUGUGUUAUCCCAUAGAUACACUAUUAUAUACCCUGUAUCAAAUUUAAAAACCAUUAAAAAGUCCUUAUGCCUUUAUCCUGGUUACUGAACAUUGUCUCAUCAGGAGAAUGAACCAUAAAAUAAAUUUUGACAAUGUUGAACCGUCAUCUAUGACUUUGUUUGAUCUCAUUGAACCUAGAUCUUGGGAUCUCCAGUCUUCUAGGUAAAGUUACUGCCACGAUGACUUGUUAGCGGCCAUAGUCCCAUUCCCGUCGAUGAUCUCUCAACUCCCUCUCUAGUUAGGCCUUUUGUAAGUGGAUCCGACACAUUAUCCUUUGACUUCACAUAGUCAAUUGUGAUAAUUUCACUAGAGAGUAGUUGUCUAACCGAGUUAUGUUUUCGUCGUAUGUGACGAGAUUUUCCGUUACACAUAACACUUCCAGCCGUUUCUAUUGCAUCUUGACUAUCACAUUGUAUGCAUAUAGGGGCCAUUGGUUUUGGCCAAAACGGAAUAUCUUCUAAGAAAUUCUGGAGCCAUUCAACUUCUUGACUUGCCUUGUCUAAGGCGAUGAAUUCAGCCUCCAUUGUAGAGCGAGCUGUACAUGUUUGUUUGGAUGAUUUCCAAGAUAUUGCUCCUCCACCAAUAAUGAAAACAUAUUCACUCGUGGAUUUCGUUUCAGUUGACCAAGUAAUCCAAUUUGCAUCACUAUAUCCUUCAAGAACUGCUGAAUAUUUGUUGUAAUGCAAAACAUAGUUUUGAGUGUCAUCUAAGUACCCCAAAACUCUCUUCAUUGCCAUCCAAUGAUUUUGAUUGGGAUUACUUGUGUAUCAACUCAGUUUACUUAUAGCGCAGGCUAUAUCUGGUCAUGCACAAUUCAUGACAUACAUCAAACUUUCCAAUAUUCUGGCAUAAUCCAAUUGAGACUAACUUUCACCUUUAUUUCUAGCAAGAUUAAGGUUCACAUCAAUUGGGGGUUUUGCCCUUUAGAAUUUCAAAUACUUGAACUUUUCAAGUACCUUUUGAAUAUAAUGAGAUUGAGACAAUGCUAGACCGUUAGGAGUUUUGUGAAUCUUAAUUCCGAAUAUCAAAUCGGCAACUCCUAGAACUUUCAUAUCAAACUUGUUAGCGAGCAUACGCUUAGUAGCUUUUACAUUAGCAAUGUCAUUGCUCAUUAUCAGCAUGUUAUCCACAUAUAGGCAUACAAUGAACUCCUGAUUCGGAGUGUCUUUAAUGUAGACACAUUUAUCACAUUCAUUUAUUUUAAAUCCAUUUGACAACAUGAUUUGAUCAAACUUUGCAUGCCAUUGUUUCGGUGCUUGUUUUAGUCCAUAAAGUGACUUAACAAGUUUGCAUACUUUCUUUUCUUUAUCGGGAACUACGAAGCCCUCAUGUUGUUCCAUGUAAAUCUCUUCCUCUAGCUCUUCAUUUAAGAAGACGGUUUUCACAUCCAUUUGAUGGAUUUCAAGAUCGUAUACUGUAGCUAGGGCAAUGAACAUUCGAAUUGAUGUAAUCUUAGUCACUGGCGAGUAUGUGUCAAAAUAAUCAAGACCUUUUUCUGUCUAAAGCCUUUGACAACAAGUCUUGCUUUAUAUUUGUCAAUAGUUCCAUCAUCUUUCAUCUUCCUUUUGAAGAACCAUUUCGAACCCAAAGGUUUGUUCCCUGGAGGAAGAUCAACCAAUUCCCAGGUAUGAUUGCUUAAGAUUGAUUCAAUCUCACUAUUGGCAGCCUCCUUCCAAGAGGUUGAGUCGCUAGACAACAUAGCUUCUUUGAAUGUUUGAGGCUCACUUUCAAAAAGGAAUGUUACAAAAUCAUAUCCAAAUGAAGUAGUUAUCCUUUGACGUUUACUGCGCAUUAGACUCUCUUCAUUAGGUUCAUUCUCUUUUGGUUCUUCUCGAGGUCGUUUAGACCCCUCAGUAGAUGACUUAAGUCUAGUUUUAUAGGGAUAGAUAUGUUCAAAGAAUUCAACAUUAUUUGAUUCCUUUACCGUAUUGUCAUGAAUAUCCGGAUGUUCGAACUUAUGAACCAAAAAUCGACAUACCUUAUUAUUUGUGGCAUAUCCAAUGAUUACACAAUCCACAGUCUUCCACCCUAUUUUCACCCUCUUAGGUAUAGGAACUUGGACUUUGGUUAGACACCCCCACACUUUGAAAUAUUUCAAGUUGGGUUUUCCACCUUUCCAUUUCUCAUAUGGAAUAACAUGUGUCUUGCUAUGAGGCACUCUAUUGAGUAUUCGACUUACUGUAAGGAUAGCUUCCCCCCACAAGUUUUGUGGUAAAACCUGAACUUAUAAGUAAGGCAUUCAUCAUUUCCUUUAAAGUUUGGUUUUUCCUUUCCGCAAUUCCAUUAGAUUGAGGAGAGUAAAGAGCAGUAGUUUGAUGGAUAAUUCUAUUUUCCAAACAUAUUUCUGCAAAUGGAGAUUCAUAUUAUCCACCUCUAUCACUUCUGAUCAUUUUGAUCUUUUUAUCCAACUGAUUUUCAACUUCAGUUUUAUAUUGCUUAAAUGCAUCUAUUGCUUCAUCCUUGCCAUUUAGCAAGUAGACAUAACAAUAUCUAGUGCAAUCGUCAAUAAAAGUUAUGAAAUACUUUUUCCCACCACGUGUUGGUGUUGACUUUAUGUCGGUGUGAAUCAGUUCAAAGGGAUAUGAAUUCCUUUCAACAGACUUAUAAGGAUGCUUAGCAUACUUAGAUUCAACGCAAACUUGGCAUUUGAUUUAUUGCACUCAAAUUUAGGCAAAACAUUUAAGUUAAUCAGUUUUCGCAAGGUUUUGUUAUUAAUGUAUCCCAAACGUUCAUGCCAUAAACAUUUAGACUCAAGCAAGUAAGAAAAACAGAAUCUUUAUUCAUAUCAACUACAAUUACAUUGAGUUUGAAGAGGCCCUCAGUGAGGUAACAUUUUCCUACAUACAUCUCAUUCUUACUUACUACAACUUUAUCAUAAACAAAUACACAUUUGAAUCCAUUCUUGGUAAGAACUAGUAUAGAAACUAAGUUCUUUCGCAAUACUGGAACAUACAAGACCCUGUUCAAAGUCACCACCUUGCCCGAUGUCAUCUUCAAGUGGACCUUGCCAGUUCCUUCAACCUUUGCAGCAGCGGAGUUCGCCAUAAAUAACUUCUCGUCUGCUGGUGCUGGAGUAUAUGAUGCAAAUAAUUCUUUGUUGGCACAAACAUAGCAUGAGGCACCAGAAUCUAUCCACCAUGCUCUUGAAUUUCCAACCAAGUUGCAUUCUGAAAGCAUUGCACAGAGAUUGCCCAUCUCUUCUUUGGAUUCAGCCAAAUUUGUUUGAUCAUUCUUCUUGUCUUUCUUGGGACCCCGACAUUCAGUAGCCCUAUGACCAUGUUUGCCACAAUUGAAGCAGUUUCCAUUGAAUUUCUUCUUAGGAGGAUUGCUCUUUGGACCAGAUGCUCUAUUUCUUUUCUUUGAUUUUGUGGGAUUUUCUUCAACAAUAUUUACUCCAGAUAUUGUUGAAUUACCACGUGACUUCUUUUCUGUGGCCUUGUUAUCCUCUUCGAUUCUCAGCCUUACCAUGAGAUCUUCAACAGUCAUCUCCUUGAAUUUAUGUUUCAAGUAGUUUUUUAAGUCCUUCCACAACGGUGGUAACUUCUCAAUAAUGGCCGCCACUUGAAAAGCAUCAUUCACAAUCAAUCCUACAUUGAAGAUUAUGUGAGUAUUAAGAAUAGACUUAAUAUGUUCAACAUAGGCAUUAAAUAAAGUUAUACCUUCAGCAAGGAAAUCAUGGAUUAUGACCUGCAGUUCUUGAACUUGGGUGACGACGGUCUUAUUGUCUAUCAUCUUAUAGUCCAAAAAACUUUGCCAUAAUGAACUUCUUCAUUCCGGCAUCCUCUGUUUUGUACUUCUUUUCUAGAGCAUCCCAGAGUUCUUUUGAGGUCUUGACUCUACUGUACACAUUGUACAGAUCAUCUUGCAGGCCACUCAGAAUAUAGUUUUUAGACAAAAAAAUCUGAAUGUGUCCAUGCUUCUGUCACCAAGAAUCGUUCUUCGGUCGGAGUUUUAUCCGACAUAACAUGAACAUUCUCAUUAAUGAACAUCUGCAAACUCAACGUAGUCAGAUAGAAGAACUUCUUAUGCUUUCAUCUCUUGAAGUCGACUCAAGAAAACUUUGCAGGUUUCUCAGCCGGUGCAAGGGCAGCAGUUGAACGAUUGUGUGUAACCAAUCUUGUUGCAACACUCACUGUUCCAACAAUUACUUAACUUGAAUUUGUCAUUUUUCUGUCACAAAUGGCAGACAAUUUUAGUAUGUGAAAUACUAGCACUAAAGAAUAAAUCCUUACACAGCCUGUUUCUGAUUUAAUGAUAAAGUUUUUAUGUUUCUUUUAAUCGUUAAUCGAAUGAAUUUUAAAAAUUCAAACAGAGUAGAAAACCAUAAAGGUUUUAAUCUCCAGAAACCUCAAAUACAAAAACUACUAAAUUUCUUAAGCUUGUUAUCUCAUGUAUUAAGGUUAGCAAAACAGAAAAUAGAUGAAACAAACAGAAUAUAAAUAAUCCGAGUCCACAGAACCCACUGUGUUUCCUUAAGAAAUUUAAUCCCCUCAAGUACCCGAGGUUGCAGAUUAAUUUCUCCCAAAAUAAAAUGGAUUAACCUAUUAGAGUCCAAGAUAAAACGGAUUAACCUGUUAAAGAAGUAGCGGUACCUCAAACUUCAAUAACUUCAGCGAACGCAAGAACAACAACAAAAGUACACACAGACUCAGUCGAUCGACAAUUUGUUUAUGUAAGAAAAUGUAUGCAGAGAGGAAAAAAAUUCAGUGUUGAAAACUGGAAAAAAAAUCUCUAUUUAUAGCCACUUGCAGCAAGGAACGCGUCUGUUCGACGAUGAUGUGAACGCUUCUGUUCAGACAUGUCAUUCCAGAAUGUUGUGUCUUUUGGGAAAAAUAACGUCUUUUCGGAAGGAACAGGUCCCUUCAGAACGAUGUUACCGUUACACGCGAAUUUCAAAUAAAUCUCGUUACGCGAAAUUAAUUUUGUUAAUUAACUAACAUCCUGAAUUAAUUUAUAAGAGAAAGGAAAUCAAUUAAUGAGAUUGAUUAAAUAAAUUUUGUCCAAAAAUAUUAUCAAUCAAUCACAUCAAAAUCCAAAGCCGAAGCUGAGCAAACGACGACGGCACGAGGGGGCACCUUCUUCUUAAUCCUUUAAGAACUAAAGGAAGUGUUUCCUUAUACAAGGACAACAAUUUUCCUUUCUUCUACCAAUAUGGGAGAAAUGACUUUUCAUUUGCAAUUUGCAAUGACUUUUCAUUUUCCCUCCAAAAUUGAUUCCCCCACAUUUCCAUUUUCUCUUUUUAUUUCUCAUUCACACCUUGCUAAAACCCAACAAUUUUUUCUUAGAAUUUUUUAAUUGAAUAUAUAAGGUCAUGUUUUCAUCUAACUCAAGAUCGUAGCUGUGUAUAUGCUUAUCCCCAAGGAUGUCAUAAUAGAAAAAGUUUAUCUGAAUACACAACUUCUUUUACCAUAAUUUUAAAAAUUCUUUUCAUUUGAAAAAAUAUAUAUUCUAUUUUCUCCCAUGUUCGGAUACAUCACUUUACGCAAUGUAUGAGACAUAUGCGAUGUAUCGAGACGUUGAGUGAUGUAUCCAAAACCAAGACAUCGACAGGGACGGAGCCAGCCUUUUGUUACGAGGUACAUCCGAACCCCCUUCGACGGAAAAUAUUACUAUUUAUACAUGGUUAAAAUUAUUUUUUAUGUAUAUAUAGUAGAUGUUGAACCCCCUUCGGUUAGUUCGUGUGUUUAGUUCUUCGAAUUUUGAACCCCUUUAUUAAAAAUUCUAGCUCCGCCACUGGUCACAUCGAUAUAUCGAGACGUUGAGUGAUGUAUUCGAAACCAAGAUACGAUGUAUCAGGAUGAUGAGUGAUAUAUCCGAAAUUAUGACGUGAUGUAUCAUGACGUUUUGGGAUAUAUCUUAAUUCCACCAAAUUUAAAGGAUUUUUAUAAUUUGGAAAAGAAUAGAAUAUGAUGUAAUUAGCUCUUAACACUAUGAAAUUUGUGUAAAAAGUUCAUAAAAUUCUUCAACAAAAAUUUAUAUAUAUACAUAUUAUAAAUAUUUAAGUUUGAAUACUAUUAAUUUUAUAUGGUUACUUAAUGUUAUGAGAAAUAUUGAAAAAUAAAAAUAAAUCUCACUUAAUUUUAAUAAAAUAAACAAUAAAAAAUAUUUUUAAAUAUAAAGAAUAUGUAAAAUCAACUCAAAAGUAAUUAGUAUGGGUCAGUAUUUGGGGCGUGGUUAUUUUAUUACCAUCAAAACUAUCAUUAAUAAAGGAACCAUGAUAAAGAUAUCUUUGAAAGGAAUUUGAUUUAUUUUCCUCUUGGGGGAAAGUAAUAAGGUUCAUCCAGUGAUACACUCUCCGUUAAUUUUAUUUAUUCAUGAUAUUAAAUAUUUUUAUUUAUUUAUUUACUUUUAACAUAUUUAGAAAAAAAUAAAUUAUUAUUUCGUAUUAAUUAUUCAUUUCAAAUCAUUUCUCAAAUUCAUUAAAAUAUCUAUUAGGGAAAAUGAUGCAGAAUAGCAAGCAUGUAGCCUAUAUUAGCUAUUAUAGUUAUAGUUUAAGAAAGUUGUAAUUUGCGGAUACAAUUUUCUCAAUUAUUGUUAUUCGCCUGAUUUGUAUAAACUCAGAAUUUACAUAAUUCUGUUCUUGAUUGUAUAAAUUCAAAAUUUCAUAGCAAAUCACAGCCUCCAUACCAAACGAAAUUAUAGCUAUAGAACGCAAUUAUCGAAACUAUAGUUAUAUUUAUUAUCAUUAAAAUUAUCUUUUUUAUUAUUUUGUACUCUAAUAGGCAUACAAAAUUACAUAAACAAGUAGAAAUAAAUGGAAGAAAUUCACACUCCAUGCCCCAAUGAAUGCAACUUGUUGACCUCCUACAUCCAUCAGUUCAUGAACAUCCUCUUAUGCAUAUCAAUUAUCAUACCUCAUAAAUGAAGCUAAAAUCAUUUAAAUCAUUUCCCUUUCCAAGAAAAUCAUUAAUUUUUUUCAUUCAUGAACCUUCUUAUAAAGUACCCAAAGCAGCAAUUAAUCAUGAACUUUUUUAUAGGAUAUAUGGACUGUAAUUAGGUGUCAAAGAGAGUUGAACUAGCUAGCUGAUUUAUUUCCAUAAGUGAAGUCUAUAUUAAUUCUGGCUGUGUUUGUUUGGUGCAUCUCAAAAGGAAAGUAAUUAUUUAACAAAAAAAAAGAAGUAAAUAUUUAAACCAAAAAUAAAUAAAUAAGAGUUAGAUUUUUAUCAAGAGAUAUAAAAUAUAAAGGGAAAAGAGUUCGAUAUACCCCUCAACUUUGUCAUUUAGGGCUGAUAUACCUCUCUCAUUCUAAAAGUAGCUCAUAUAUAUCCCUAUUGUUACACAAAUGAAUCACAUAACCCUUUUCCUCUAACGGGAGUGAAAUAAUAAUUUUAAAUUAAUUUUUAUUAGUUUUUUUUAUUAAAACAAUAAUCCAUGUAGGGAUAUAUUUUAUUCUUUUUAAGUUUUUUUAAUUCAACGGCUAAUUUGAAUUUAUUAUUUUGAUGGUCAAAUUUAUUCUUUUCACUUAUUUUCUUAUAAUCUUUACUAUAGAUAUCCUAAUUUUUUUUUACAUAUACUAAAUUAAUUACAAUUGCAAAAAAAGUAGUUUUAUUUUUUUCCCUUUUUUUUUCAUUCACAUUAAAUUUUUUUCUCUUGCAUUCUAUCAUUAAUAUGUGCUACUUGUACCUUCUAGUGAAUGAACUCAUUCUUUUUAUCUUAUCUAAUUUGAUAUGACUUCACAUUCAUCUUAGCAUUCACAUUUUUGCAACAAUCAUCUUGUGGUUAUAUUGAUGGUCUUAUAUUUGUUCUAAAAAACUUAUCCUUCACUUUGAUGGUCAUUCCUCAAUCACAUAAUAUUUUGGUAAUACUUUUCCAUUUCAACCAUCUGAUUUUUAUUCCUAUGAGUACCAUCUUCAUUUAUAUAUAUCAUCUAUCAUUGACGAUAAUUUUUUUUCUCUUUUUUCAGCGUUGAACUAUGAAAAACACGUUCGGUCAUAAAAUUUCAAAAUUCAACUUGAAGUUUAACUACAAAAAUGUUUAAAAUUUGAAAAAUAGCAAAAAUGUGUUUUCACUCUAAAUUACUCAUAAAAGAUAACAACAAAAAAAACUCCAAUUUGCAUUCAUAGCUCCGAUUUAAAAAUAUCAAUGGUAAUAAAAAUUACUUUUUUUCCAAAUUCCACAAUGAAAUUCUCACUUUAGAUUUUUAUCUUAGUUAAGUAAUUUAAAUAUAGGAUUAUAAGACAACAGCGCCUGUAGCUCAGUGGAUAGAGCGUCUGUUUCCUAAGCAGAAGGUCGUAGGUUCGACCCCUACCUGGCGCGUUAUUAUUUUGUUUUGUUAAUAUUUAUAGGAUAAUGCAGUUACUAAAAAAAACAGACUCUCAAAGUAAUAAAAUAAAAUAAAAUUGUUUCCACGUCAAUGAUAUUCUUAAUCUCUUUUUUACUCAAUAAGUAAUUUGCGAUCAUUGUCUUUUUGCAUAUUUUGCCUUUCAUGAGUGGACGGACAAUCUUUCGAUAGAAGCAUUAGCAGCGACAAAUUAGAAGAUAAGUGUGAAAAAAAGGAUUUGAGAUUUCUUCAAGAUUGAAACAAAGAGUGGUUACUAUUCUAAAUUACUCAUUAAUUAUUUAAUUUUCUUACUAAUAUAUCUAGUUGAUUCUAAUAUUACUAGUUAACAAGAUUAAAAAUUAUUCAGUUUGCAGAAGCUUUAUUUAUUUAUAUCCAACAAUGUUAUUUUUUUUCAACUUGUACCCAAGAUGUUUUCAUUGAAUAAUUUAAAAUUUCAUAUUAUAGUUAUACAAUCAAAUCUUUACUUAAAACCAAACUUGAAUUAAAAUCUACCAAACUUGCACUUAAAGACCAUCAAACAUAAAAGAAGACACCGUAUCCAAUUUAAAUUGUACCGAAAUCACCAAAUCAACACGAACAUUUCCCAUGUAAUUAGCAUUUUUAGUGAAAGUUUUGGAUAAUUAGUACUUAUAAAUAUUAUUAUUAAGAUUAUUUUAUUUAAAAUUUUGAAAAUUGAUUAGCAAGUACCAACACCAUAUAAUAUCAUCAUGUAAAUCUUUAUGUUUAAAUUUUUAUUUUUAUAUUAAAAUUUACGCUUAAAAAUUUAUUCAAAAAAUAUAUUUUUUAAAAAGUGGGUUGGUCCAUAAACCACAGGCCCGACCCGCUCUAGCGAAUUUCAACGUUGUACUUGAUAUGUUAAACUUGAUAUACAGUAAAUAAAAUGCUACCAAACAUGCUACUAGUUAGCUUGAUUUUAGUACAUGUGUAAUUCACUUCCUAACAAUUAAUCAAACUAUUCUAUAAGUAUUAAAUGACUUUUAGGGUGUGCUCCGAAUGAUAAAAUUUUAAUUAAUCAAUUUAUUGAAAAAUAUUUUUUCUGGGUAAACAAGUUCCUUAAAAUGAGAACUCCCUUUUAGACGUCGAUAAUACAAGUUUCACAAAUGACAUUCCACAGUGAUCUUAGUCUUCCUCACCCUUCAUCACAUCUAAUCUUCACCCUACCUCCUUAGCACCCAUCAUUACCCUCGUCUUCACUCUCAAUAAAUUUGUAAUCAUAUAUAAAAAAAUAAAUUAAGAUAAUAUUUAAUAUUUAUGUCGAACACAUCCUUAAGGAUUGUUUGGAAUGGGAUAUAUAAAAUUAUCCCACCAUAUAUAUGAAAUAACUUAUUCAUCAAUAUAGUACAAAUGACGGACCCAUAGUCCUAAAACUAACAAGUACAGCCUCUAUUUACUUGUCCACUAAUUUAAAAAUAUGUUUUCACUUUUAACAUAUCAAAAAAGACAAUCAUUUUUUCCUAUUUUACCUCAUUCAUUUUCCAAAACCCAUCAAUAUACUACAUCAAUUAAUAUUUAUCAAUAAAAUACUCAUAUCAAUCAUUAUUUCUUGAUGGACGUGCAAAAUUCGAAAUGAAAGUAAAAGUGAACAAAAGAGAAUGCCUAAUCAAUAUUAUUCUAAAAUUAUUAUCUCUUAUUUUCAUACCAAACGACCCAUUAAAAGUAUAAAUAAAUACAUUACAUUACUUUUUUUCCAUAAGAAAAUAAGGUAAAACAAAAAGAAAGAUAUGAAAUAAAAUUGAAAACCAAAAUAUGUUAAGGCCGACAUGAACCGCGCGCUACCAUGAGCAUAUAACAGACUACAGAGUAUUCAAAAAAGAAAAAAGAAAAACUGUCUUCCUCUUCUUCGUGCCAUUAACGGAUGUCGAGAAAAUAGGAAGAGAGCGACGGAUAUAGAGAGAGAGAAAGGAGAGCCAAAGAGUUUUUACUCGCUUUAAUUCUCCUCUUAUAUCAUCUAUUAUUAGACUCUUCCCAUCUUCUUCUCCAGGCGGCAAGUUUUGCCGCCGGAUUGGAAAAAAAUAAAAUCAUAAUAUCAUUCUUCAUAGAUUAACCAAAUCAUCACCCUUUCAAUUCCUUUUUUUUUCUUUUCUCCUCUCUUCCUUUCCUGCAUUAUCUUUGAUUUGGUAAUACUACUAUUCUUCAACAUUAAUCAUUUUUUGUAUUGUAUUGUAUUGUGUUGGGUGUGAUCUAUACAUGCGAUUUCGUGUUUUUUAUUAAGUGGGUAUCGCCAAAUUUCUCUUCCACUUUGUGGGUAUUUCGCCGUUUUGUGAAUAACUAAAGAAAAGGGGGGAAUGUGCUUGGGUAAUUGUGUGUUUUUUUCAUUAAAAAAUUUAAAAUGAGGAACACAAUAUAUGAUUUGUUCUGGAUGCGUGCGAAUUUUGCAUAUGUUGUUCUUUAGGUAUUUUGUUAUUUUUAUGCAAGUUGGCAUUGCAUGAUUUGUAGGAAAGUUUAUUUUAAUAGACAUUCUUCUGAUGGAGAAUGAAAGGAGCUAGUAAUAGUUUUCAUGGUUAUAAUUUGUAGUAGUAUACUAUUUGUUAUGUGUUUAACCAGUUAAAUUUAUUACAUUUGCAGUUUCACCUAUGGAGAAACCAAAAACUCCCUUCAAGGGAGUCAUUGAUGAUGUUAAAGGAAGGAUGGCAUGCUAUAAACGCGAUUGGCUCGACUCAUGUGGUACAGGCGUGAGGUAUUUUAUGUUAUGUUUGAGCUGAAUAUGAACUGGGACAUUAAUCUAUUAUUACUACAUAUUGAUGAAAAUGUUGGGUUUAUUGUGUAAAUGAAUUUUAGGAUAUUGGCUCCAACAGCAUACAUUUUCUUUGCUUCAGCUCUUCCUGUUAUUGCUUUCGGGGAGCAAUUGAGUAGAGAAACAGGUCCGCGCUAAAUUUUUUUCUUCCAUAUAUGCGAUAAUCAUGUAAUGUAAGUUGGAUUAAUUUGUUGAUAUAUUGAAUUGACAGACGGAGCUAUGAGCACAGUUGAAACUCUUGCUUCUACUGCUAUCUGUGGAAUCAUCCAUUCAAUUUUUGGUGGACAACCUCUCUUGAUCUUAGGAGUUGCAGAGCCAACCAUCAUCAUGUACACCUACUUGUACAAUUUUGUGAAGGAUAGACCAGAAAUGGGGCCAAAGCUGUUUGUCGCCUGGGCAGGAUGGUGUGGAAUCUACUUUUUCCUUUGUUUUCUCCAAAAUGGUGUAGCAAGAGCUUCCUGGGGUUACCAAAUGCAUAAAUGUUACUAACCAUAUGUUUGACAGGGUUUGUGUGUGGACCGCGUUGAUGUUGUUUCUUCUUGCUAUAUUCAACGCUUGCAAUAUCAUCCCUAGGUUUACGAGGCUUGCAGGGGAACUCUUUGGCAUGUUAAUCACAGUUCUUUUCCUCCAAGAGGCUAUAAAGGUACUUGUUGUUGUCCCUCCUUUUGAGAAUGUACUCUUAAAGAGUCUAUAAAACAAAAAGGACUAGAAAGAAUUUUCAUUUAAAACUAGAAGAAAUAUCAUGCUCCUCAUAACUUUUUGUUCUUUGAGUCACAGGGAGUAGUGAGUGAAUUUUCAAUUCCAAAAGGUGAAAAUCCGGAACGAGAGGAGUUCCACUUUGAAUGGCUCUACACAAAUGGGUUACUGGCAGUUAUUUUCUCGUUUGGUGUUCUUUUAGCUUCUCUUAAAAGUAGAGGAGCUAGAUCAUGGCGUUAUGGUACAGGUAUGUGACAAUAUCUGCUUUAUUGAAGGGUGAAUUUGAAUUUUGGAUAUAUUAUUGUCUGUUAAAAGUCAUAAUCUCUCAUACAUCAACUAUUAUGAACAGGUUGGAUGCGAAGUUUUAUAGCCGAUUAUGGGGUUCCCCUUAUGGUUGUGUUGUGGACAGCAAUGUCUUUCGGUGUGCCUGGAAAAAUUCCUUCUGAAGUUCCUCGAAGGCUCUUUUGUCCUCUCCCUUGGGAGGCUAAAUCAUUAUACCACUGGACUGUGAUGAAGGUGCUCUAAACUUCACGAUGACACACUUAUUCACCUAGGCUUCUUGAGUUCUCCAGCUGGAGUGGCCAAUAAGAUCUGGACUGCUUCUAUAUUCUGUUCAGAGCAUAUCUUGCUCCUUCAGUUAGGUUUCAUAAAAGGGGAUGUCGUAAAACAAACAGAGACAUUAGAAUUCAUCAUCAACAUCCUUUGUUUUUAUAUAUGUUCUUAUAUACAAAAAGCUUUUGAAAGUGGGCCAUACAAAUGGCUUGUGGCACAUGAACUUUCUCCUAUAGGCUAUAGUAAUUCGGAAGUCAGUAUAAGACAUGUCAAGAUGUUGUUAGCUCCCUCUUUGGGUAUUUUCUGAAAAAAGAAUUUUGAACCAAAUUUAUGGAUUAACUCUAUGUACGUCAGUUAUGUCGGAAACAUUCCUAUCCUGUAUAAUUUAGUUUAUGCACUUCAUUGCAGGAUAUGGUAAGGGUCCCGGUGUUGUAUAUCUUUGCUGCCUUCAUUCCAGCUCUGAUGAUAGCUGGUCUAUACUUUUUCGAUCAUAGUGUUGCUGCACAGAUGGCACAACAGAACGAGUUCAAUCUUAAAAACCCAUCUGCUUACCAUUAUGAUUUGUUUUUGCUUGGAGUCAUGGUAUAGAUUUUCAGAACUUUUUCUAUGUAGAGAGAUAAGCUUUAGUUCACUUCAGGUCUUCCACUCUGGCUCAUUCUUCAUCCUGAAUUUAUGGUUGCAGACUUUGAUAUGCGGAUUACUUGGGAUUCCCCCUUCAAAUGGGGUACUUCCGCAAUCACCAAUGCAUACAAGGAGCCUUGCUGUACUCAAGAGACAGGUAGAUAAUGCAAUAAUAUGUUCUCUAUUUAUUCCCAUCUGCGUGAUUAAUUGUCCUACUAACACUACUUGGUCCCUCAUGAGCAGUUAAUUCGGAAGAAAAUGGUGAAGAGUGCGAAGGAAGGUAUUAAGCAGAAUGCAACAAAAUCAGAGAUAUAUGGAAAGAUGCAUGCCGUCUUCGUUGAGAUGGAUGCUACAUCAAAGGUAAGUGCUGGAACCAAGUAUAACUGUUGCCAAUCAGGGAUGCAUAGGUCAAUGUCCAUAUGGCCUAUUCAGUUGCAAAAUAAAAAUGUGUUUAUUUAUUUUCAAUACCUCUAACUAGUUUGGGUUGAGGCAUAGUUGUUGGAUUAUAAGAAAUUUCUUUAUAUUAUGCAGCGCACAGCAGAUAAGGAUUUGGAGAACUUGAAGGCAGCUGUAAUGAAACAUGACGAUGGAGAAAAUGGAACAGACGGAAAAUUUGACCCUGAGAAGCACAUUGAUGCACACUUGCCUGUCCGAGUAAAUGAGCAAAGAGUUAGCAACUUUUUGCAAUCUCUACUUGUGGGAUGUAGUGUGUUUGCUAUACCUGUGAUCCGGAGGAUACCCACCUCAGUUCUUUGGGGAUAUUUUGCCUACAUGGCCAUUGACAGUCUCCCUGGUAAUCAAUUCUGGGAGAGGCUGCUGCUGCUUUUAAUUCCUUCGGGUAGAAGAUUCAAGUAAGUCACAAAAAACUAUUCCUCAUAACUAAGUCUUGAAAAGUCCCUCAAAACUUUUGGUCAUGUUCACAUUAACACCUGGAUAUCUUAAAUUGUAGGAGUUUUGGGUUGUUACGUAAUUAUGCUAGCCUAGUUCUUAUUCGAACUGAGAACUAGAGGAAAACUGACAUGUAUUUUGGCAUUGGAAUCCUUGUUAUUGGUCAUAAACUACUUUUCUAUUUCACUUUUAUGGAUGACCAUGCCAUAGUUAUAUACAUUAGAUUAUUCAAGUGGUAGUAAUUGAUUGGUUAAACAGUAGCAUCUUUUAAGUGCUAUUUUGUGAUGGUUCUUUUGACAGAGUCUUUGAAGGGCUCCAUGCCUCCUAUGUUGCGUCGGUCCCAUUCAAAUACAUUGUCAAGUUUACAAUGCUCCAGUUCGUGUAUUUCUUAAUUUGCUUUGGAGUAACAUGGAUACCUAUCGCUGGAAUACUAUUCCCUGUGCUUUUCUUCCUUCUCAUAGCUAUAAGAGAGCAUGUUCUUCCCAAGUUUUUCCCAUACGAGUAUCUUAAGGAAUUAGAUGCAGCUGAGUACGAAGAAAUUGCUGGUGUUCCUAAGGUAAAUUAUUUUUCCUACCUUUCCUGCAUCCUCCCGUGUAAGUGUAAAUGAUAUAGGUGGGCUUUUGUGGACAUUUUAGUUUAUUAUUUUUGCUCUAAUUGCAUUCUUCUUAAUACUGGAUGCUCCAUCUUUGUUGCAUUCAGCUGCAAUAUUACUUGUUCCCUGGCCAUAUGAUGUAGUUUUGUACCUCACUGAAGUUUUGCUUUGGAGAUAACUGAAAGAAAGGAUCCUUCACAGAUUUUCUAGAGACCACAGAUAGUAGAACUGGAAGGAAUUAGACCAAGCAAAUACAAGCUUGUGUUAAUUAAUAACCAAAAUAUAAGUUGGCAACAUGGAUGUAACUAGACCAGACAAUAAAACUUGUUAAUUACACCCAAGAGAUAAGAUGGCUAAUUAUGUGUCUAGAUAAAAUAAAUAAAAAGACACAAUUUUGACCAUAAUUCAUUGAACCUACUAAGAGAUAGAUAGAACUGAUGAUCUCAAGAUGCACUCUUGCUACCACAUAGGUCAACUACAGAACCAUUAUUGUGCAAGUGUCUAUUAACAUGGAAUUCAGGUCCUGAAAGCAUAUGAUACAAAAGCCCAUAAUUGAUUGAGGAAAUUGGUCUUCAAACUCUAAACACCUUUUCACUUAAAAUCUCCCUCUUCAAUCCAGAUCACUGAAAAUCCUCCUUCUAGAUAGCAUGUCCUUGAUAACCCUCAAAACUCAAAAGCCCAUACAAGAUUUUACAGAAAUAUUCCCUGACUGCUAAAAGUGAACCACCAUUUCCUUUACAGGGUUAAUUUUUCUUGUUUUCGUUUUAGUAAGUUAAAAGCCUUGAAAGAACAGACAAAUAUAUGAAAGAAUAUGUCAAUAAGCUCAUAAAUAAAUUAAUAAAAGAAUACAACAAACACCAAUAUUUCUCAUUUUUUUAGUAUGAGUUUAACUAUAUGUCUCUUUUCCAGUAUGUCGAUUCUGGAAAAUAAUAGCCAAUAUCAGCAACAAGACACCUAACAGUUUCUGUUCUUUUUUCAUUAUUCCAGCUCUAUUUAUUUUGUUCUACGCAUCCGGCAUUCAAAACCCACUAACCCGAGUAAUCUGGAUUCAUGCGGGGUAGGUAAAGGACUUCCUACCAAGAAGUUAUCCAUUACAGUUAUAAACCCAAGGAUGUCUGGUUGGCAAAAGGUGAAGAGAGAUCCGAACCAUCUCCAACUACUAUUAUCUUCCUUCCAUCUCUACUCAUACUUGACAGUCAAUUCUACUUACUAUCCUAUCAUGCCCCUAAACAAGAUUAGAACAAACUUCUCCACCACCCUCACAAUUUCAAUUUCCAACAAGCCCAAGCUUAAUCAUCUUACAUAAAUGUGACCGUCUAAUUAGAAUUAGAUCAGCCUUUUAUGAAAAACUUGAUAACCCCCUGGAUCAUUCAACUGCUACAUUUUUCUGUUGCAUUCAAUUUUCUUAUCACUUCUUCUAUGUAAUACAAACAACUGGAGUGUCUUCUUGAUGAGAACUUUGAGGAUCUCUUAGGUUCUUACAAUGGUUUAUGUAUCUUUCUGCAGGAGAGAGAGAUAUCUGAUGAAGAAAAUGAUGAUGAUUUCUCUGAUUCUGAGAUAUUGGAUGAGAUGACAACACACAGAGGUGAACUAAAACAUAGAUCUGUCAGCCUAACCGAAAGGCAACAUCAGGUAAAUUGGCUUUGUCAAAUCGUCCAACAUUAGCAGCUUCCAUUUUAUUACGUUGGAAGAAACUGAUAAUGACCCCAUUUAAUUUAAUUUAUGUCAGGUUUAUCCACACGACGCUUCUGAAAUGUAAUGGCACCUGAUGCAUCAAUGUAAAUGAUAUAACUCAUUGUGACUCUCAAUCAAAGUACUUCCAGGGAGGUCAUUAUAAUUUUGACAAAUCCUCUCAGUUGUGGAAAAUGUGCAAUAGAAACAAUACAUGAAAAGAAAGAUGAGAGUAGAAAAGAGCGGGAGAUGGAGAUAUAACAAAAGAAAAAAAGAAGGGAAAAAAAGCACGAGAUAUUCUGUACAAACUUUUAAUUUCCUUUCAUAGUACCGAAGCUAAGUAAUAUAGAAGUUUGAUGCUGAUUGAAAAAUUUGUAUAAUUCUGGAUGCUUUUUUUGUGUGUGUUAUUAUUUCAUUUUUGGCAAAGGUUGAUGAUGUAUGUGUUAUACAAAUGAGUCAUUGUGGAAUCUGGUAACUUUGCUUGUAAAACUACUUUCGAUAGUAAAACAUUUGAAAAUACAUUGAACAAUUAGGACUCGUUUGAUAGGAGGUAUAAUCAAAAUAGUCCAUGGAUUAAAAUUUAGUCCAACAAAAAUAUUGUUUGGUUACUUUAUUUAACCUAAACCAUGGAUUAGUUAUACCUCAUACAAAGUCUUAUCUAAUUCCUAGAAAAGGGAGGGAUAACUAAUCCAAGGUUUAACAAUCCUUGGAUAAGACCCCUAAAUGACUAAACUAUCCCCAAAUCUUUUUUCCUAUUUUUUUUUUUUGUAAUUUAAUGCUUUUUUAUUUAUUUAUAUGAGAAUAUUUAUAAAUAUUCUUUUAAAUUUCCAAAUUCAUUCUAUGUGAUUUGAUGAUUUCACAAAUUAAUAUUUUUUCUCCAUGUUUGAUUUGUUAUAUUGGGUUGAUUUUUUCGUUUUUUUUUAAAAUGUAGUUCGUCGAUAUACCACUUGAACUUUUUUAAAAAAAAAUAAGCUUUGUGUAUUUGAACAAUUUAAGUAGCCUUAAAUUUAUGUUAAGUUCAAGGUAUAUUUGACCAACAAAAAAAUUAGAAAUAUAUCGUGCUAUCAAGGAUCUCUAUGGUGGCAUAUCACACCUCAAAAUUAAUAAUAAUUUUUUAAUAUAUUUUAGUAUUUAACUUGACAAAUUAAAUAAAAUAUAAAAUCUCAUAAGAACUCAAGGGUAUAAUAGGAAAGAAACUUUUUCUAGAAUUUUAAAUCAAACAUAAGAUUAAAUGGGAAACAAUGAACCAAACACUUGAUAAAAAUUAAUAUCUGCAUUAUUAAACCCUGCAUUACUAAUCCCUGCAUUAUGCAUCUUCGUACCAAACAACCCCAAAGGCUAAUGAACAAUAUAUAUAUAUAUAUGGGAAAAACUUAGGCAAAUAUAUUUGCCAAGUAUCCCAAGUUCUCAAAUACUAGAAAAAUUAGUAUUUGGGCCAAGUUCUAAUAUUUGAGAAUUUUGAAAAAUUUAAAAAUUAUCCCAAACUUUUAUAUUUUAUAAAAAAUAUCCAUUAUUUAUUAAUUUCAACUAAUAUUUGUUGUUACCGACUCCGAAAAAAUUUGAGUGAUAAAAAUGAGAAAAAAGAAUAAUGUGUGUUUAAUAAGUUAUAAUUAUAUUUUUAGAACUUAUGGGUAUAAAUCAUAUUUUUUGAAAUAGUUAAAUAUUUUUGAAAAUUUUUGGGGCCAAACACAUGAUGAAACUUUACCCAAAUAUAAUUUGCCAAGAAUAUUUGAGAACUUAGGAUCAAACGCGGGCUUAAUGUGGACUUACUAAUUUGCAUUGCUCAACUUUUUCAACUUAUACAAUUGAGCUGUCUGUCCAAUUGAGUUAAUGAAUGAUGAGUCAAUAACCAACUCAAAUUUGAGUGGGUUAUAUUUCUGUGAGCUAGUUUUAUCACAUCUACAAAAGUCAUUCGUACAAAUGUCCUAUUUUGGGUGAUGUUUAAUUAUUGUCCCUCAAAUAUGUGUUUUUAAUUUUUAUCCUUCAACACAGUAAUAAAUAAGUGACUUAGCCUUAUUUGUUUAUACUUGUGAAAGUCUGAUUUUGAAUGAUUCAUACAUUAGGCCAUUAAGUGUAUUUGAUUUUUUUACUUAAAAAUCUUUUAAUGGGUUUGAAUCAGUGACGAAUUUAGAGGUAAAAAAUAGGGCAUUGGAACUCGUGGUCUCUCUGUAAAACUAGAUAUUUUGUGUAUAUAUUUUCUAAAAUUUGCAUAAUAGUGUAUUUUGGCAAACAUGCUAUAAGAAGUCUAAAUGGUUCACAUGAUUAAAUGUUGAGCUUUUGAUCUUGAGGACUAAGACCCUUUUAAAGACACUUUUUUUUUUUUUAAAAUUCUCGCCUCUCUCAUUCUCCAACUUUGUUAGUUAUCCAAAUUAUUUUCCUUAAACUUUUACUUUUUAAUCUUGCUGCUUGUUCAUAAAGAAUUGUCAAAAUUUAUUAGAAAAAAAUUAUUUCAUUAAAGUGCAAAGUAACUUCAUAACAUCAUAUGUGACGAUGAUGCCUUUAUAAAUUUGUUUAAAAUCAUUUGAAUGUAUCAUAUUCAUUAAUUAAUUUAGAGAAAAGUACAUGUGCAAACAUAUUAUAGAACAUAGAGAUGUUUCACUUAUUUAUUUAAGAUUAAUUUGUAUUGAUUUAUUUUUUAAAAAAAAAGGAUGACUACACUUUUUUCUAACAAUUAUUUUUAUUAUCAUAAUUUAUAUAUGUAAUGUUCCAUUUUAUUUUCAUCAAACUUAAAAUAUUUAUUUAUAAUUUAAAUAUCUUAACGUUUAUCUAAGAAUAAUAGUUUUUCUCAUAUUUUGUUAAUGUAAUAUUUAACUACUAUUUUAUUUGAAUUAUAAUGUUUAUUGUGUUUUCAUAUUUCAGUAUUCAGAUCUACCAACAAGAGCUUAAUUAUCUAGAUGUGCAUUCAGAUUUAGACGUUUUAAUCUUAAUGAAAACAAAUGAAACCUAAAAAUACGCUCGACACCGAAAUAACAAACAAGUCUAUAAAUUUAUAUUUUCGUAUUAUAAUAUUACACAACUUAUGUCGUAAAAGCCAUAACACGUAAUAUCCCACACAAAUUAUGUUGCAAGACAUAACAAGUUAUGUUUGUAUUCUGAGAUGACAUAAUGUAGUAUAAAAUAAAAAUCACAUAGACAUACACACCAGACAGCUUGUUUAUGAAUGGUUUCAAUCAAAAUCCUAUCGAUUGUAGCAUAAGUUUUACCAUUCCAUGUUAGCUAUUAAUUUUUUUAUUCUCUAACAAGGAUAAGAACAUAUGCUCCAAAAGGUAUAACUUUAAUGUCUGAACAUUACGAUAAAUUAUGAAAAAUACUUAACAAAGUUCAUGUAGUUCAAAUCCUAGCAUAGAAAAAUACUAUUUGACUCAAAUGAUCGAAUUUUUCGUUUUGUGAAAGAAAUUUUGGUCAAUUAUGUUGCAUAACUUAAUUUUUGUAAAAUGUAUGCCGAUCAAAUUAGUUCUGAAUAGAUGAAUACUUCGAUCAAUAAAUUUUCAUUAAUAAACAACUAUUUUAAAAAAAAUAAAGAACCCAUCAUAUUCAAAGAUAAAAUGGUCUGAAAAAUACUUCAACUUUGGUCGAAAUUGCUGUUACGAUACCAAAUUUUAUGGAGGACCUUUUUACCCCCUGCACUAUUUAAUAGUGUAUUUUUAAAAGGUAUAUAUGUGCCCACGUGGACACGUUACUAAUUAUAAUGAUGCAAUAUUUAUGAUGUCUACGUGGACACAUAUAUACCUUUAAAAUACACUAUCAAAUAGUAUGGGGGGGGGGGUAAAAGGUCCUUUCCAAAGUUGGGUAUUAUUACAACAAUUUCGAUCAAAGUUCGAAUAUAUUUCAGACUUUUUUCCCAAAAAUAAAAAACACCACAAAAUAUGGUCAAUCUGUGAAAAAACAUCCUCUACAAAUAAUAUAUUAUUUCCUCCAUUCACUUUUACUUAUUAUAUUUGAAUUUAACAUAUUUAUUAAGAAAAUUAUAAUUGACAUGACAAUUUUACGGCACUAUCUCUAUUAAUUUAUGUUUAAUAUAAAGUUUUGAAAAAUAAUUUGUGAAAUAAUCAUACAUAUACUCCCUCCGUUUCAAAAAGAAUGACCUCCUUUCCUUUUUAGUUUGUUUAAAAAAGAAUGACCUCUUCCUUUUUUUAUAACAUUUUAAUUUCAGCUUUCCACGUAGCAUGUUUAAAGCCACAAGAUUGAAGGGCAAUUUAGUACAUUUGACAUAACUUUAAUUUAGGAUCACAAGAUUCAAAAGUCUUCUUUAUUUUCUAAAUUUUUGUGUCAAGUCAAACCAUGUCACUUUUUGUGAAACGGAGGGAGUAUAUAUAUAUAUAUAUAAAAGAGAACCUUAGGCCCGCCUACGUGGCGCCUCCAAAUACAAGGAUUCUCUUUUAAUUUAUUUAUUUCCAAAAUUAGCCUUCCCCUUUCAUGCAAAGUUGUGACUUUUAUUGAAAAGUUGUGACUUUUAUGAAGAGUUGCUACUUUUAUGAAAGGUUGUAACAUUUAUGAAAGGUUGUGACCUUUUCGAAGAGUUGUGACUUUUUCAAAGAGUUGUGACCUUUCAGGUAAGGCACAAUAAACAUUUAUUCACACCACCUUUUUUUGUCUAUAAAUAGAGGGGCUUCCUCUAAUUUUAAAACAACGAAAUUCCUGAACUUCUGCUUCAUCGUCUGCACAAUUAAAUUUGGUUUUGAACUUCUUCUUAUUCUGCACAAUUAAAUAUUUGUAUACUUUGCUCAUGUUAAGUGGCUCAGUGACACUAUUGUUUUUGUAUCAUUACACUGGUGAAUAAAAUUGUUUCAUCGUGAGAGUAUCUAUUUCUUUAAAUCUCGGGUACUAGAGGGGAAUGAUUUUCUUAAGGAGACACUGUGCAUUCAGUUAGCUCGAUUUUUCCUUUCUGUUUCAUUCUAUUGUUACUGAUCCUGGUAUGUUUUUUACAGUCAUUAAUUUAUGCUUAUGAUAUUAAUUAUUGUUUUUAGUACAUGUUUUAAACUUUGUUGUUUAUGUUUCUGUAAAGUUAUUAUUAUAAGUAUUUGUUAGUACAUACUCUAUGUAAAUCCAACUAAUGCAUAUUCACAAUUGACUUUUUACAGAAUACAUUUAUUUAGAACAUUCUCCAAAGAAAUCUUUUCUUCUCCAAGAGAUCAAGCCUAAAAAUUUAUAUGAUUUUUUGUUGUUGUCAUAGUAUUGUUAAUAUUAACGGGAGUAAAAAGAAAAAGAAAGUCAAAUAAUAGAAUUAAAACUAGCAAUUAAUUACAAUUACAUGAUACACAAUGAUGAUUAUUCUCUUACACCAAAGUACUUUUUUGAACUUUUUUCCCAUUAUCCCUUACUUCUCUUUCAUCCUUUCCAAGGAUCCUUAAUGAUUUGUUUGUGCACAACUUCAAUUCCAAAACACUUUCAUAACUAUAUUACAUAUGAAAUUUGGAUUUUGGAAGAUUGCAUUUUAAUUUUAAAACACAUAAUGACUACAUAGUACUUAUUGGUAUAUCAUAUGAUUAUGGAACCUUUGCUCUUGAUAAACGCAUUAGUUAUAUAUAUAUAUAUAUAUAUAUUUAAAAUAUUUAAUAUUUUGGAAGUAAUUGAUAGUGUUAUACUAACGAAAUUUGCAAAGAAGAAAAUUGUGAAAAAUAUUUAUUUUACUCUCUUAUUAAAGACACUAUGUAACCAUGCAUAUAGAUGAUAAAAAUAAACUAACCAUUGUAAAAUUUCAAGAGCAAAUUAAUGAAUCUGUAAAAUGCAAUUAUGUAAGCUAGGAGAAAGUAGUGUUAUGAUUUGUAAUUUUGUCAUUUCUUUUAAUAAAACAAAUGAUAAACUACAAUUGAAUAACCUCUAUACUCCUAAAAAAAAAUACUAAGAAAAGUUCUAUUUUAAUAAAUUUUAAAAAAGAAUGUUUUAAUUCGCGCGGUCCAUUUACUAGUCAAGUAUAUAAGCAACAAGCCAUUUGCUUCUUUUUCUAGAAAAGAAAUUUUAUUUUUCUCAAAAAUUAAAAAAUUCCCAUAAUUAGGAAAAAGGAAGCUUCUUAGGAUAAAAGGCCAUUUAUGAAUCUGUGGAAAAUUCAAAAAGAAAUUUAUUGGACAAUAUAUUCUUAGGAUAAAACACUUUAAAAGACUUUGUUUAAAAUCAAUAAGCUUUUCAACUUGCAGUUUGAGAAGUUGUUGAAAAGAUAGUGAUUCACAAAGAAGAAGAAGAAGAAGAAGAAGAAGAAGAAGAAGAGAGAUCUGAAUUUUGUGAUACUGUAAAUCAUGGCUUCAAGUUCAACGAAGAACAAUCCGUUACUGCCGACGACGACGGCGAUCGAUCCAUCACCGUCGCGGAUGGAGGAGAAGCUCUUCAAAGGAUCGGCCAUGACCAAGCGCGGUGCUUAUGCUGCUAUCUCUUACAUGUCAUGUGCUGGUAUAGAUGCUUCCUCUUUCUUCCUUCCUAUUGUUUCUCCUGAUUUGUGUAGCUGUUCUCUGUUGAAUUGCCAAUUCGCGUUUUCCAUUUUUGAGGAAUAGGGUUUGCAUUUUGUUGAAAUUGCAAAUUUUAGAGCUAGAAAUUUGUAUCUGUUCAUUACGUUUGAUUCAAAUUGAGAGGUUAUUUGUUGAUCGUGAGUUGAGUGAUUCAUCAUGGAAUGAAAUGUUUUACUGUGUAACGGUUGAAUUUUGACCUUCUCCAUCACUUCGAAAUAAACUAGUAUUGCAAUCAUUAGAGCUAGCAUGGGAGUUGCUUUGAUCUGUACGAUUCAAAUAAAAGUUUAUUUUUGUUGAUGGAAAGUUGACUAAUUCGUCAUGGAUGUAUUAUAAGAUGUUGUAGCCUUUCCCAACUGUCUUAAAAGUUGUGCUCUUGAUUUAUGCUUGGUGUUAUUGAUAGGAAGUUCUCUUCCAUAUUUGGUGAUUAUUGCUCAGUCGUGUUUCACCAUCUGUGGAGUGCCAGCUGAAUGAUAUUAAAGUUUGUUGAAUUAACUACUAUUGGUGGCACUUAGAUUUAGUUAGAUUGAAUCUGAUAAUUGUUGACUCAUGUAGAAGCUAAUCAUGGCAACUUUGCUAGUUGGUUGUGGCCCCAUAAAUCAUACUCUCUGCUCCUUAAUAUGCAGAUCUGUGGUCAAUUAAAUAAAGGACAUGCAAUGUAAUUUUUUUUAAAAAAAAGGAAUGUUCACCUAUUCUGCUGUCUCUUUAACAAAAACUUCUUCUUUUUUUGUCUCUUCUUUCAAGUUUUAAAGAAGACAAAAAACAAUAAAUUAAUCAUAGGCAAAUGGAGUGUCAUGCACAUAAAAAGUUUAUUGUAGAAUGAUCAUUUCAUGCCUUAUCAGUCUAUGAAUAUUCUUAUGGUGUGCAAUCCAUUUUCACAUCUGAAGGCUUGAGUGCCAUGCUUCAAUCUUCAAGAGAAAACUAUUCAUCCAUGUACUCAAUGUUUAUAUAUUUUUCUGUUAUUAAAUAGGAUUAGUAGCGCAAAGAUCUUUGAAAUAUCAAGCUUUAUGUGCCUUACACAUCAAAUGCCUUGGGUACUGGCUAACUCAAUAAUAAAGUACUGCCAUUCAUUUAGAUUCUUUUCAAGUACUUCCUCCGUUUAAUUAUGCGUCUUAGUUUUAACUGGACACAGAGUUUAAGAAAGUAACAAGAUUUUUGGAUCUUGUCAUCUUGAACUAAAGAUGUGUACCAAAAUGUCCUUUGAAUCUUGUGCUCUUAAAUAUGCCAUGUGAGAUGUUGGAAUUAAAGAGUUACUAAAAGCGACAUUCUUCUUAGACAUACUAAAAGGAAAGUACGACACCUCUAAAAUAAAGGGAGUAUUUUUCCUUUCCCCAUAUGUAUGUAAAUUCAUCAUGCUUGAAUUGCUCAGCUUUUAAUGACAUGAUUAAAUGUUCUUUUGGAUGAAUUUACCCUACAUUACGUAGUGGGGAAUGUUUGGGAAUUGGAUACAAAAAAGAUUUUUACACAAUUUGUUUAUACCAUCUAAGUUCAUUAACAUGUUAACUUAAUCUUGGCACUGUUAGUUUUAAACUCUUUGCUAUUUCUCUUUGGUUAUUUAGCAUUUUUGCGCACAAAGAUUGUUGUAUGUUGGAUACUCUAACUUUAUACAUGUUGAUUAAAUCGUGUCUACUUAUGCAUCCUUAAAAUGUCUUGUCAGAUGAUAGAUAGGGAUGGCAAUGGGGGGUGUGGGGCAAAUCCUCAUAAACCGGCAAAGACUUUGGCACUUUGCCCUGCCCCGCUCAGCCCCGCAUAGCAAUUUUUUUUGUUUUUGUUCCGCCCCGCCCCACCCCACCCCGCCCCGCAUAAAUUCAUUAAAGCACCGCAUAUAUCCCUGCACUUUGAGGACACAGUGGCUGCAUUUUACUUUCUUCGUAUAUAAAAUAAUUGUUUGUUAGUUUAUGUACUGCACAACACAAUCAAUUCAUUCUAAACAGAUAAAAGACUUUUUAAAAAACUUUUAGUGAUAUUAAAUAGUAUUUUGUUGAUGUUUCAUCCUUCUUCAUAAUUACUUGGGAUAAGAUUGAAUCAUGCAAGAAUGUAUAGGGUACUGCCUUAUUUUUUGACUAGUGUGUUUAUUACCCAAAAGGAACGUGGAAGUAGUCGAGUAUUGCGAAAGUCUUGGCUACCCGCAUAUCCGCCCCGCCCCGCCCCGCCCAACAACUAUUUUUUUUCAAAAAUAUUUUGUACCCGCCCCGCUCCGCAAAAGCUCUAACCAGCACUGCCCCGCAAACACUUUAAGCCACUCCGCCCUGCAACCGCUCUGCCCCCUUGCCAUCCCUAAUGAUAGACAUGUUUGAAGACUCCACUUUUCUUUUGCUUUGCUUUUAGCCAAGUCCAAGGUCGUCCGUGUUAUAAAUGGAUGAAUUCAAUGGGAUUAAAGUAAGUGGAUAAGGAAGGUCAAACUUACUCUUAUAUUAUUAGCUUAAGAUGGACAUUUGUAUUAUUUGGAAUCAUUGCAUUUAUGUCCAUUGGAGUUGUCUUUGUUGACACUAUAAGCAAUUAAUCAGUAGUAAAUGUAUAAAAGUACUGUGUUGUAUUUUUGCCGCAUCUUAUGCUACCUGAUUCAGACGAAUAGACUGCAUUUGUGUCUUUGUGGAUAUGACUAUUGUCCAUAUAUGCUACUCUAACGAAGUGGGAAAUUAACAUGUUUUUCUUUUUCUUUUCUUUGUUGGUAAAUCCAUGUGUAAAUGCCAUUAUAUUAAUGAUAUUCUAGAACUUACUGCAAACAAACUAAUAUUCUCUGUUCUUUAUCAUGCACUUAAAAAAGAAAAACCAAAUAGUUUCAGUUUGGGCUAGUCGCUCCAUUGUCCAACAUCCAGAAAUUAGGGGAUACGUUUGACUUUGAUUUUUGAAUGAAAACAUUAGAAUGCAGAUAAAGACUCAAUGAGACCCCAAUGCACAUUGUUGCUUUGUGCUUAAUGUCCAUUUCUAGAUGGUAUUCUUUGUCCAUAUCAUGCACUCUCAAUGUUUAUUCAUGUUCAUUGGGGUCUGCGGACUCCACUCAAUUCUAAAAAAACCCGUAAAUUAGUCUAUUUUUAAGGACAUCUAGUUGAGAAUCAACACUUAAUAAUGUGACCCCAAUGACAAGAACUUAAGGCAUAGCCAUUGAUGACUAGGAAUGAUGCAUGGUUCCAUUAAGCAUCAGCGAACAUAGAAGAACCUCAAAUUUAAAGUCAAGCACCGAAGUAUAGUUGCCCAUCUUCAAUUUUGAUUCUGUCAGGUCAUUUGGGAGGAAUAUAGGAACUUCCUUUUCUUUGCUCUAACCCUUUGCUUCACCUUUCUAAGAAUCAGAGUCCUUAAGUUGAUCUUUUCCUACUGUUUAUAAAAGACCUUUGGUUCUCCAUAA